AUUUGAUGUCCAAGAUGGUAGAACAUUGAUUGCUGUGACUAAACAUUGUUGAUGGAAAUUUGGAGUCAACUUGCAGCAGGAAAAAUGGCAGAGGCUACUAUCCUGGUGGUACGAAGGCCCUAUUUAGAUCCAGGGGCUAUAGCUAGGUUGAGCUAGUUGAGACUCAACUAACCCUUAAAACAUCCAAACAUAUGGGCUAGUUUGAGUUAGAUUGGAACUAGCCCACCAAAAAAACUAUCCCUGUAAAGUGGUGCUAAUUGGAGCUAGUUGUGGUGGGACAAAAAAAAAACAUAUUUUUCUCCCUCACCGAGCCGCACCAGAUCUCCUUCACCCCGCCGCCCCCGUCCUCCUCCACCCCGCCGCCCCCGUCCUCCACCCCGCCGGCCCCGCCCGCCCGCCACCGUCNCCACCACCGCCGGCCCCGACCGCCCGCCACCGUCGCCCCCGUCCGCCUCCAGUCCGCCGGCCCCGUCCGCCCAUCACCGUCGGCCCCGUCCGCCUCCACCCCGUCGGCCCCGUCCGCCCACCACCGCCGGCCCCGUCCGCCUCCACCCCGUCGGUCCCGUCCGCCCACCACCGCCGGCCCCGACCGCCCGCCACCGUCGCCCCCGUCCGCCUCCAGUCCGCCGGCCCCGUCCAGUCUNNNNNNNNNNNNNNNNNNNNNNNNNNNNNNNNNNNNNNNNNNNNNNNNNNNNNNNNNNNNNNNNNNNNNNNNNNNNNNNNNNNNNNNNNNNNNNNNNNNNUUAUCAUUGGUUUGAGAUUAUCCCUCUACAUCAUGUCAUCUUGCUUAAGGCGUUACUCUGUUCUUAUGGACUUAAUACACUAGAUGCAUGCUGGAUAGCGGUCGACGUGUGGAGUAAUAGUAGUAGAUGCAGACAUCAUCGGUCUACUUGUUUUGGACGUGAUUCCUAUAGAAAUAAUCAUUGCAUAGAUAUCGUCACGAUUUGCGCGAUUCUAUCAAUUGCUCGACAGUAAUUUGUUCACCCACCGUCUACUUUCUUUCAUGAGAGAAGCCACUAGUAAACACUACGGCCCCCGGGUCUAUUCACAUCCAUCGUUUACAUCUCCGCUUUUACUUUGCUUUGUUACUUUGUUGCUUUCAGUUCUCACUUGGCAAACAAUCUAUAAGGGAUUGACAACCCCUUCAUAGCAUUGGGAGCAAGUUUUUGUGUUUGUGCAGGAUCUUGAGAUACUCCUCCACUGGAUUGAUACCUUGGUUCUCAAACUGAGGGAAAUACUUACCACCGCUAUGCUACAUCACCCUUUCCGCUUCGAGGGAACACCAACGCAAGGCUCCAAGGCCACGGGGGAAAUCCUUUGCAUACUUGCCAUGGAAGUCCCUUAAGGCGUAGUCGCAGCAGAAAGAUCAAGCCAAGUAUUCUCCCGUCGACGUGCCUAUUUCUUGCGCCGUUGGAAGGUCUUUUGUUGUAGUCGCAGAAGUAUUUCUGGCGGCGUUGCCGGGGACGAGAAAUCAAGAUCUAUCCAAGUAGGUCUCACAAACUCUUCUCUUGCAUUUACUUUUGUUGCGAGUUGCCUCUCGUUUUCCUCUCCCCCACUUCACAUUUGCCAUUUUCAUUUGCCUUUCUCCUUUGCCUUUUUCUUUGAUUUUUUUGUUUGCCUUUUCGUUCGCCCUUUUCUCUCUCUUGCUUUAUGUUCGCUUGUGUGCCAUAUGCCUUCAAUAUGCUUGCAUCUUCGCCUGCUGAAAAUCUAUUGAUAUGGAUCCUCAUCCACUAGCUAGUCUCUUUAAGAGACCCACUAUUGUUGAACAAAUUGCUAGUGAGUUGAGGACACUUGACUAUCUUUAUGGAGUUUUGCUUGAGAGGCGUGAAUCUGAAAAUUGUGUGGAAGAAAACUAUGAAGCGAUUCGUGAGGGUUCUUUGGAUGAAAAGCAUGAUUGCAAUGGUUUCACUAUAAAUUCUAUUAGUGAUAAUCAUGCUAAAGUUAUGCAAAACCCUAAGCUUGGGGAUGGUAGUCUUGCUAUGACCACUACUUGUUGCAAAGAUCAUGAUUGGGGUGAUGAUUUUUCUUUUGAUCUUGAAAAUUCUUUCAAGCCUCAAGAUGAAUAUGAUAUUUGCAAUAUUAUUGAAAGUGGGUUUGGAGAAGUCAUGACUUUAGAUGAUAAUCCCACUAUUUUUGAAGAGCGUCAACUUUGCAUGCAUGUGGAUCAUGAAAAGAAUAUCCUAUGUGAUAGUUAUAUUGUUGAAUUCGAAUAUGAUCCCACAUGUAAUUGCUAUGAGGGAGGAAAAUAUUUUGGUAGAAACUUUCAUGUUACCAAAUUACCUCUCGUUAUGUGGAGAUUGCUAUUGUCUCUUUCUUCUUCCUUGCAUAUGGCAACUAUUGGUUGUCUUGACAAUCUGUUUUCCUAUAAAAUGCCUAUGCAUAGGAAGUAUGUUAGACUUAGAUGUGAUUUUCACAUACCUUAUGAUGCUCUCGUUGUGCCUCAAUUCUUGUCUUUUGUGUGAGCAUCAUUGACUUAUCAAUGCCUAGCUAAGGGCGUUAAACAAAAGCGCUUGUUGGGAGGCAACCCAACGAAUUUAUCCUUUUUAUUUCUGUUUUGUGUUUUCCACACUUUCAUAAUUCUGUUAUGAUUGUAUUUUUUGUGUUUCUUUUUGCGUUUGUGCCAAGCAAAACCGUUAUAAUUAGUCUUGGAGAUGAUCGUUUGGUCAUGCUGGAAAAGACAGAAACUUUCUACUCACGAAAAUAAUUUUCACUUUCUUUUGUAAGAGCUUUUGAGUUGAUUCUUUCUUCUGCUGAUUGCUACGCAAAUUCUUCAAACUGUCGUAAGUUUUCAGAAUUUUUGAAGUACCAUAGCUAUACGAAAUAUACAGAUUUCUACAGACUGGUCUGCUAUUAACAGAUUCUGUUUUUGUUGUGUUGGUUGCUUAUUUUGAUGAAACUAUGGAUAGUAUCGGGGGGUGUUAGCCAUGGAAGAUUGAAAGUACACUAACCCAACAUCAAGACAAGUAGAAUUUAAGUUUGCUACAGUACCUAAGGAAGUGGUGGUUUGCUUUCUUGUACUAAUGUUAUCACGAGUUCCUGUUUAAGUUUCGUAUUGUGAAGUUUUCAAGUUUUGGGUGAAGUUCUUAUGGACAAAGAGAUAAAGAGUGGCAAGAGCUCAAGCUUGGGGAUGCCCAAGGCACCCCAAGAGAUUCAAGGAUGUCGUAAAAGCCUAAGCUUGGGGAUGCCCCGGGAAGGCAUCCCCUCUCUCGUCUUCAAUCCAUCGGUAACGUUACUUGGGGCUAUUUUUUUUAUUCACCACAUGUUAUGUGUUUUUGCUUGGAGCGUCUUGUAUCGUAGGAGUCUUUUAUUUUUUUUGUGCCAUAAUCAUCCUUGCUGCACACCUAGAGAGAGAGACAUGCACACACCAUGAUUUUGUCGAGCUUCACUUAUAUCUUUUGGUAGACAAUUCAGCUCACAGGUGCUUCACUUAUAUCUUUUGAGCUAGAUACUUUUGCCCUAUGUGCUUCACUUAUAUCUUUUAGAGCACAGCGGUGCGUGGCUUGGUAGUUGAUCUAUGCUUUGAAAGUAGUCUCAAAAGGGGUAGUUAUCCAAAGGGAUACGAAAACUUCCAUCUUCAUGUGCAUUGAAUAGUUAGAGAAGUUUGAUUCAUCUCAAUUAGUUUUGAGUUGUGGUUAUGGUAAUAUUGAAGUCAUGCUAAUAAGGUGUUGUGGAUCUAGAAAUAGUUGUGUUGAAGUUAGUGAUUCCCAUAGCAUGCACGUAUGAUGAACCGCUCUGUGAUGAAAUCUGAGCAUGAUUAGUCUAUUGAUUGUCAUCCUUUGCGUGGCGGACGGGAUCGCGCGAUGGUUUAUACCUACCAACCCUUCCCCUAGGAGUAUGCGUUGAAUGCUUUGUUUCGAUUACUAAUAAAACUUUUGCAACAAGUAUAUGAGUUCUUCAUGACUAAUGUUGAGUCCAUGGUUUAGAUGCACUUUCACCUUCCACCAUCACUAUCUUCUUAGUGUCGUGCAACUUCCGCCGGUGCACAAAACCCACCAUUAGCCUCCCUCAAAACAGUCACCAUACCUACCUACUAUGGCUUUUUCAAAUUCAUUCCGAGAUAUAUUGCCAUGCAACUACCACCAUGACAUGUGCCACCACGUCUACAUUUCCAUUGCAUGAUCGUAAGAUAGCUAGGAUGAUGUUUCCAUUGAUGUCUAUGCUAUGCUAGAUCAUUUCCACGGUACACUACCGAAGGCAUUCCAUAUAGAGUCAUCGUUACUCUAAGUUUUGAGUUGAAAAGUGUGAUGAUCAUCAUUAAUGGAGCAUUGUCCCAUGUGAGGAAAUAAAAGAGGCCAAAGAAGCCUACCAAAAAAAAGAGGCCAAAGAACCCACCAAAAUAAAUAAAAAUAAGAGAAAAAGAGAGAAGGGACAAUGCUACCACUUUUUCCACACUUGUGCAUAUUAAGCACCAUGAUCUUCAUGAUUGAGAGUCUCUCGUUUGUCACCACCAUAUAGCUAGUGGGAAAUUUUCAUUAUAUAAAUUGGCUUUUAUAUUCCUAUGACAGGCUUCCUCAAAAUUGCCUUAGGUCUUCGUGAGCAAGCAAGUUGGAUGCACACCCACUAGUUUUCUUUAAGAGCUUUCACAUACUCAUAGCUCUAGUGCAUCAAUUGUAUGGCAAUCCCUACUCAUUCACAUUGAUAUCUAUUGAUGAGCAUCUCCACAGCUCAUUGAUAUGCCUAGUUAAUGUGACUAUCUUCUCCUUUUUGUCUUGCAACCUCCACUACAUUCCACACCAUCUAUAGUGCUAUAACCAUGGCUCACACUCAUGUAUUGCGUGAGAGUUGAAAAGGUUUGAGAAAGUAAAGGUGUGAAACAAUUACUUGGCCAAUACCGGGGUUGUGCAUGAUUUAAAUUCAUUAUGCAAUGAUGAUAGAGCAUAGCCAGACUAUAUGCUUUUGUAGGGAUAACUUUCUUUUGGCCUUGUUAUUUUGAAAGUUCAUGAUUACUUUGCUAGUUUGCUUGAAUUAUUAUUGUUUCCACGUCAAUAGCAAACUAUUGUUUUGAUCUAAUGGAUCUGAACAUUCACGUCACAUAAGAGGAAUUACAAAGGACACCUAUGCUAGGUAGCAUGAAAGCAUCAAAAAUUCAUUCUUAUCACUUCCCUACUUGAGGACGAGGAGGAGUUAAGCUUGGGGAUGUUUGAUACGUCUCAAAUGUAUCUAUAAUUUUUGAUGGUUUCACGUUGUUAUCUUGUCUUCUUUGGUUAUUUUAUGUACCUUUUAUAUCUUUUUUGGGACUAACUUAUUAAUUCAGUGCCAAGUGCCAGUUCCUGUUUUUUGUGUGUUUUUGACUCUUUUCAGAUCUGAUUUUGGAACAGAGUCCAAACGGAAGAAAAACCCUGAAAUGAUUUUUCCCGAAUGGAAGAAGAUCAGGGGGCCUUUGGGACAAGCCAGGUGGACUCCAGGGAGCCCACAAGCCCCCACUCCGCCACUAGGGGGGAGGCGGCGGUGGGCAGGCUUCUGGCCUCCCUCGCCGCCCCCUAACCUAGAUAUUUGGCCUAUAUAGUCCCUAAUAUUCCUCAAAAAAUCAGGGGUGCCUCGAAAAUACUUUUCCGCCGCCGCAAACUUUCGUUUCCGCGAGAUCUUAUCUGGAUACCCUUCCCGGUGCCCUGUCGGAGGGGACUUUGGAGUUGGAGGGCUUCUUCAUCAUCAUUAUCGCCCCUCCAAUGACUCGUGAGUAGUACACUUCAGACCUACGGGUCUGUAGUUAGUAGCUAGAUGGCUUCUUCUCUCUCUUGGAUCUUCAAUACAAAGUUCUCCAUGAUCUUCAUGGAGAUCUAUCCGAUGUAAUCUUCUUUGGCGGUGUGUUUGUCGAGAUCCGAUGAAUUGUGGAUUUGUGAUCAGAUUAUCUAUGAUAUAUAUUUGAGUCUUUGCUUAUUUCUUAUAUGCAUGAUUGGAUAUCCUUGUAAGUCUCUCCGAGUCUUUGGUUUUGUUUGGCCGACUAGAUCUAUGAUUCUUGCAAUGGGAGAAGUGCUUGGUUUUGGGUUCUACCAUGUGGUGACCUUUCCCAGUGACACUAGGGGCAGCAAGGCACACAUCAAGUAGUUGCCAUCAAGGGUAAAAAGAUGGGGUUUUUAUCAUUGGUUUGAGAUUAUCCCUCUACAUCAUGUCAUCUUGCUAAAGGCGUUACUCUGUUCUUAUGGACUUAAUACACUAGAUGCAUGCUGGAUAGCGGUCGACGUGUGGAGUAAUAGUAGUAGAUGCAGACAGUAUCGAUCUACUUAUUUUGGACGUGAUGCCUAUAGAAAUAAUCAUUGCAUAGAUAUCGUCACGACUUUGCGCGGUUCUAUCAAUUGCUCGACAGUAAUUUGUUCACCCACCGUCUACUUGCUUUCAUGAGAGAAGCCACUAGUAAACACUACGGCCCCCGGGUCUAUUCACAUCCAUCGCUUACAUUUCCGCUUUUACUUUGCUUUGUUACUUUGUUGCUUUCAGUUCUCACUUGGCAAACAAUCUAUAAGGGAUUGACAACCCCUUCAUAGCGUUGGGAGCAAGUUUUUGUGUUUGUGCAGGAUCUUGAGAUACUCCUCCACUGGAUUGAUACCUUGGGUCUCAGACUGAGGAAAAUACUUACCACCGCUAUGCUACAUCACCCUUUCCGCUUCGAGAGAACACCAACGCAAGGCUCCAAGGCCACGGGGGAAAUCCUUUGCAUACUUGCCUAGGAAGUCCCUUAUGGCGUAGCCGCAGCAGAAAGAUCAAGCCAAGUAUUCUCCCAUCGAUGUGCCUAUUUCUGGCGUCGUUGGAAGGUCUUUUGUUGCAGUAGCAAUAGCCUCUUGUGGGAGUUCAAUCCCCAGCUCAACUAGACGGUUUGAGUACCUAGAUAUUUUGAGCACAUGUUCACUGACAGACGAAUUCUCCUCCUUCUUGCAAGCAUAGAAUUUAUCGGAGGUCUCAUACCUCUUGAUCGGGCAUUCUUUUGAAAGAUAAACUUCAACUCCUGGAACAUCUCAUAUGCUCCAUGACGCUCAAAGCGCCGUUGAAGUCCCGGUUCCAAGGCAUACAAGACUACACAUUGAACUACUCAGUAGUCCUCCUUACGUGAUUGCCAAGCGUUCAAAACAUCUUGGUCAAACGUAGUAGGUGGUUCAUCUCCUAGCGCAGCAUCAAGGACAUAAUUAUUUUUCCCAGCUUGUAGGAUGAGCCUAAGAUUACGAGCCCAGUCUACAAAAUUUCAACCAUCAUCUUUCAACUUAGCUUUCUCUAGGAACGUAUUGAAAUUCAGGGUUGCUACUGCGUGAGCCAUUGGUCUACAACAUAAAAUAUUGCAAAGUGGAUUUAGACUAUGUUCAAGACAAUUAGAGUUUAACAAAUAAAACUACUAAUAAACUCCCACUCAAAUAUACAUCCCUCUAGUUAGUUGAGUGUGGCAUGAUCCAAAUUCACUAACUCAAACCCGAUCAUCACGUGAGUUGAGUAUAGUUUCAGUGGUAAACAUCUCUAUGCUAAUCAUAUCAACUAUACGAUUCAUGCUCGACCUUUCGGUCUCUUGUGUUCCGAGGCCAUGUAUGCACAUGCUAGGCUCGUCAAGUUUAACCCGAGUGUUCCGCGUGUGCAACUGUUUUGCACCCGUUGUACGUGAACGUUGAGUCUAUCACACCCGAUCAUCACGUGGUGUCUCGAAACGACGAACUGUCGCAAUGGUGCACAGUCGGGGAGAAGACAAUUUUAUCUUGAAAUUUUAGUGAGGGAUCACCUUAUAAUGCUACCGUCGUUCUAAGCAAGAUAAGGUGCAUAAAAGUAUUAAUAUCACAUGCAAUUCAUAAGUGACAUGAUAUGGCCAUGAUCUUGUGCUUCGUGAUCUCCAUCACCAAAGCACCGACAUGAUCUUCAUCGUCUCCGGCGCCACACCACGACCUUCAUCAUCAUGAUCUCCAUCAUCGUGCGGCCAUCGAGGUUGUCAUGCUAUCUAUUCUAUUACUACUAAAGCUACAACCUAGCAAUAUAGUAAACUCAUCUGCAAACACAAACGUUAGUUUAAAGACAACCCUAUGGCUCCUGCCGGUUGCCGUAGCAUCGACGUGCAAGUCGAUAUUAACUAUUACAACAUGAUCAUCUCAUACAUCCAAUAUAUCACAUCAUGUCUUUGGCCAUAUCACAUCACAAGCAUACCUUGCAAAAACAAGUUAGACGUCCUCUAAUUUGUUGUUGCAUGUUUUACGUGGCUGCUAUGGGUAUCUAGUAUGAUCGCAUCUUACUUACACAAAAACCACACCGGAGAUGUGCAAAUUUCUAUUUAACCUCUCUCCAAGGACCGCCUCGACCAAAUCCAAUUCAACUAAAGUUGAAGAAACCAACACCCGCCAAUCAUCUUUAUGCAACGAGUUACAUGUUGGUCGAUGAAACCGGUCUCUCGUAAGCGUACGAGUAAUGUUGGUCCGGGCCGCUUCAAUCCAACAAUACCGCCAAAUCGAGAAAAGACUAAGGAGGGCAGCAAAUCAAACAUCAACAUCCACAAAAACCUUUGUGUUCUACUCGAGAUUACAUCUACGCAUGAACCUAGCUCAUGAUGCUACUGUUGGGAAACGUUGCAUAGGAAACAAAAAAAUUCCUACGCACACGAAGACCUAUCAUGGUGAUGUUCAUCUACGAGAGGGAGAUCGGAUCCACAUACCCUUGUAGAUCGCUAAGCGGGAAGCGUUAAGAAAUGUGAUUGAUGUAGUGGUACAACAUCGUGAUUCAAAUCACCGUCGUCCCACGAUCCGUCCCGAUCUAGCACCGAACGGACGGCACCUUCGCGUUCAGCACACGUACAGCUCGAUGACGAUCUUUGCCUUCUUGAUGCAACAAGAUAGACGGGGAAGUAGAUGAGUUAUCCGACAGCGUGACGGCGCGCCGGUGAUGGUGAUGAUCUAUUCCUGCAGGGCUCCGCCCGAGCUCCGCAGAAAUCCGAUCUAGGGGAAGAACUAUGAGGUAUAGGUUUGAGUUGCACGUGGCAAAGUUGUGUCUCAAAAACCCUAAAAUCUCUAGUAUAUAUAGGAGAAGGGGAGGGUCUAGCCUUGGGGAUCAAGGGGGCCCCUAGGGCACCGGCUGAAGUGGAGAGGAGGACUCCAACUCCAAUUCGGUUUGGGAAGGAGGAGUCCUUCUCUCCCUUCCCACCUCCCUCUUUUUUUUCUUUUCUUUUGGUUUUCUUUCCUAGCGCCAUAGCCCACUUGGGCUCGCCUCACCAUCCCACUAAGGGAUGGUGCGCCACCCUAGGACUAUUGGGCUCACUCCUGGGUGGGUGGGCCCCUCCCGGUGAAAACCCGGAACCCAUUCGUCACUCCCGGUACACUGCCGGUAAUGCCCGAAAUCUUUCCGGUGACCAAAUGAAACCAUCCUAUAUAUCAAUCUUCGUUUCCAGACCAUUCCGGAAACCCUCGUGAUGUCCGUGAUCUCAUCCUAUACUCCGAACAACCUUCGGUCACCAACUCCUAUAACUCAACUAUACCUAAACGUCACCGAACCUUAAGUGUGCAGACCCUGCGGGUUCGAGAACUGUGUAGACAUGACCUGAGACACUCCCCGGCCAAUAUCCAAUAGCGGGACCUGGAUGUCCAUAUUGGAUCCUACAUAUUCUACGAAGAUCUUAUCGGUUGAACCUCUGUGCCAAGGAUUCAUAUAACCCCGUAUAACAUUCCCUUUGUCCUUCGGUAUGUUACUUGCCCGAGAUUUGAUCGUCGGUAUCCCUAUACCUAUUUCAAUCUCGUUACUGGCAAGUCUCUUUACUCGUUAUGUAAUACAAGAUCCCAUGACUAACACUUGAGUCACAUUGCUUGCAAGGCUUAUAUGUGAUGUUGUAUUACCGAGUGGGCCCCGAGAUACCUCUCCGUCACACUGAGUGACAAGUCCCAGUCUUGAUCCAUGCUAACUCAAUGGACACCUUCGGAGAUACCUUUAGAGCACCUUUAUAGUCACCCAGUAACGUUGUGAUGUUUGAUACACACAAGGUAUUCCUCCGGUGUCACUGAGUUACAUGAUCUCAUGGUCAUAGGAAUGAAUACUUGACACGCAGAAAACAAUAGCAACAAAAUGACACGAUCACAUGCUACGUUCAUAGUUUGGGUCUUGUCCAUCACAUCAUUCUCCUAAUGAUGUGAUCCAGUUAUCAAGUGACAACACUUGCAUAUGGCCAGAAAACCUUAACCAUCCUUGAUCAACUGGCUAGCCAACUAGAGGCUUACUAGGGACAUUGUUUUGUCUAUCUAUCCACACAUGUAUCUAUGCUUUCAUUCAAUACAAUUAUAGCAUGGAUAAUAAACGAUUAUCUUGAAACAGGAAAUAUAAUAAUAACUAUUUUAUCAUUGCCUCUAGGGCAUAUUUCCAACAGUAUAUACAUCACCUCGUCAUCAGGUGUGUUUGUCGAGAUCCGAUGAAUUGUGGGUUUAUGUUCAGAUUAUCUAUGAAUAUUAUUUGAGUCUUUUAUAAAUUCUUAUAUGAAUGAUUUCAUAUCUUUGCAAGUCUCUUCGAGUUAUUGGUGGGGUUUGGCCAACUAGAUUGGUAAUUCUUGCAAUGGGAGACGUGCUUAGUUUUGGGUUCAAUCUUGCGGUGUCCUCACCAAGUGACAAAGUAGCGGUAGGGAGACACGUAUUUGUAUUGUUGCCAUCGAGGAUAAAUAGAUGGGGUUUUCAUCAUAGUGCUUGAGUUUAUCCAUCUACAUCAUGUCAUCUUACCUAAUGCAUUAGUUUGUUCUGCAUGAACUUAAUACUCUAGAUGCUGGCAGGAGUCGGUCGAUGUGUGGAUUAAUAGUAGUAGAUGCAGAAUUGUUUUGGUCUACUUGACACAGACAUGAUGCCUAUAUGCAUAAUCAUUGUCUUGGAUAUCUUCAUAAUUAUUCACUUUUCUAUCAAUUGCUCGAUAGUAAUUUGUUCACUCACCAUAUUAUUUUCCUUCAUGAGAGAAGCCUCUACUGAAACCUAUGGCUAUAAACCAAAAAUACCAAAAAUAUCUUGUUGCAAUUUAUUUACUUUUUUUUUACUUUUCAUUUCAGCAAGCUUUUAUAUCUAUCUUUAUCGGAUCUCAUCCUUGCAAGUAACCGUGAAGGGAUCGACAACCCCGUUUUAGCGUUGGGUGCAAGUGUUUGAUUUUUUGUGUAGGUGCGAAGAUUGGGGCCUUGCUUGUUCCUCCUACUGGAUUGAUACCUUGGUUCUCAACAAACUGAGGGAAAUACUUAUCUACUUUGCUGCAUCACCCUUUCCUCUUCAAGGGAAAACCAACGCAAGCUCAAGAAGUAGCAUUAUACGGGAUUAAGGGAAUCCUUGACAUAGAGGUUCAACCGAUAGAUAUAUUCAUAGAAUAUGUAGGAUCCAAUGUGGGCAUCCAGGACCCGCUAUUGGAUAUUGACCGAAGAGUCUCUCAGUCAUGUCUGCAUAGUUCUCGAACCCGCAGGGUCUACACACUUUAGGUCCGGUGAUGUUUCGGUAUUAUUGAGUUAUGUAUGUUGGUGACCGAAAGUUGUUCGGAGUCCCGGACGUCACGAGGACCUCCAGAAUGGUUUGGAGGUAAAGAUUGAUAUAUAGGAAAGUUGCACUUGGCUUCCAGAAAGUUCUCGGGCAUUAUCGAUAAAGUACCGGGAGUGACGAAUGGGUUCCAGGGUUUUACCGGGAGGAGCAACCCACCCGGGAGAGGACCUAAUAGGCCUAUAGGUGGUGCACCAGCCCUAGUGGGCUGAUGCGGCCAGCCCAAUAAGCUAUUUCGGCCAAGGUGCAAAAAGAAAGGGAACUUUCAUACCUUUUUACACAUAUUUGGACUAACGUACUAACUCAGUGCACCCAGUGCCAGUUUUGGUCUGCUGAUGUAUUUUUUGCACGGGCUUUUAUCCCAAUUUAUAGAACCCAAAACAUCCCGAGAAAAAUAUAUAAAAAUUAGCGUGACGGAAGCUUAGAGAGGCAUCAAGGUGGCCCAGAAGGGAGCCAAGGCCUGCCCAGGCGGCCUCCCUGCACGGUCUACCCCCUGGCCGCGCCCACAUGUCGCCUGGGUGGGGCCCACCUCCUUUGGUGCCCUACCUUGGCUCCUAUUUUUACCCCCGUGGAGGAAACGCUGAUUCCGGAACCCUUUUCUCCAGAAGCAAUUCCGAUCUCCGCCGCCAUCGCCAAUAAGUUUCGGGGAACUAGAAUUCCAGUGCUGGCGCCCUACGGGGACGGGGAAGUGCCCCCGUAUUCAUCUCCAUCGACGUUUCUUCCUCCCUCCAUGACGCGGGAGUAGUUCCUCCUCGGGGUUGAGGUCUUCUACAAUAGCUAUGUGGUUAAUUCUCUCUCUCAUGAUGUGAUCUUGAUUGUGAUCAUGGGCUAUGUUAAUCUAGGGUGAUCCCAUGAUGUUUCCCCUUCUUCUAUGUAUUGGAUUGACGUACUCACUUGAUCUUAUCUAGUAUAAUCCCCGAGACCAUGGUGACAGCGAUCUAUUGGACAUGGAUUUGAAGAAUAUUUUCAUGAGUGAUUUCCUCUCUUCUGAAUUGAUUGAAGAUUGAGAGUCUCUUGGUGCUUGUCUUUGACUAUCCUUGAGAUACGUCGUGGUGAUUGUGGUACUCUCUUUGGAUGGCCGCGGUGACAUUGGGAAAUCCAUAGAUGACAACUACGAACUCUGUGGUGUGCAUUUGUAGCCCUACAUAAUUCUCUUCCUCUCUUGAUCACAAAGGAAUGACCUCCGAGUACGUCUCCAUUGCAUGUUUUAGUGGAAAUAUCAUGUGAUUAGACUAUGUUAAUGUUGUUGGGAGUUGCCACUAGUGAAAGUAUGAAGCCUAGGCCUUAUUUCACACCAUUGUUACACCGUUUAUGCUCACUUUUUUCACUUGCUAUCUUGCUGUUGUUUUUAUUACAGAUUUAUAUUACCUUGCUUUGCCACACCUAUCACCCAUAUUUUACCAUCUCUUCACCGAACUAGUGCACCUAUACAAUUUACCAUUGUAUUAGGUGUGUUGGGGACACAAGAGACUUCUUGUUUCUUAAUUGCGGGGUUGCUUGAGAGAGACCAUCUUCAACCUCUACUUCCCUGAGUUCGAUAAACCUUACGUCAUCCACUUGAGGGAAAUUGCUACUGUCCUACAAACUCCGGGUUGGAGGCCCAACAUAGUCUACAAGAAUAGAAGCGUGCGUAGACAUCAAGCUAUUUCUCGCGCCGUUGCCGGGGAGGUGAGUGCUUGAAGGUAUAUCUUUAGAUCUUGCAAUUAAAUCUUUUCGUUUCAUGAUUUUAUUUUCACUAGUUAGGCUUAUGGAAAACUGCACUCUUAGUUUGCUGCUUGGGGAAGGCCGCUUUACCACACCCUUGGUAGAGAAGUCUCCUCCACCUAUUGAAUGUAUCCCAUUCAAAAUACCACUUGGGAUAAUUGAAAAUUUUAGGGAUGAUUGUUAUGAUGGAACAGUCAAUCCUAGUAUUCAUUUGUUGAAACUCACAGAACUUUGUGAGUUGUUUAAGAUUUCAGGUUUGACAAGAGAUGGAGUCAUGAGGAAAUUAUUUGCCUUGUCACUAAAAGGAAAAGCAUUGGAAUGGUAUAGGCUACUAGAUGAUUCUCACCUACGGGAUUGGGACGAGAUCCAGUCUCUCUUUUACUCCAAGUUUUAUCCUCUUCAUGAAGUCCAUGAGAAUAGGAAUUAUGUUUAUAAUUUAUAUUCUCAUGACGAAGAGAGCAUAUCUCAAGCUUGGGGGAGACUGAAAACUUUAAUGCUAAAAUGUCCUAACCAUGGGCUCCCCUAAGAUAUGAUUAUUACUAAUUUCUAUGCGAGGCUCUCUCGACAGGACAAAGACUUGCUUGAUGCUUACUCUAUGGGUUCUUUCACAAACGAAAAGAUUGAUGCUAAAUGGGAACUCCUUGAAAGAAUUCAAUGCAAUACUGAAGAUUGGGAGAUCGACAAAGGUAAAGAGCCAGGUAUAAAUUAUGAGUAUGAUUGCAUUAAGGCCUUUGUUGAAACUGCAAUGUUUAAUAAGUUUAGUGCUAAGUCUGGGCUUGAUUCUCAACUCCUUGUUGAUUUCCUCAAAUCUUUUGCUUCACAUCUUAAUAUGCCUAAGGAGAAUUGGAUCAACCAUCAUCAACCUUUUAAAGAGAUCUGCAAGGAAAAUGACAUUGUUAAUGAUAAUUGCAACAUGCAUGAUCCAAUUCCUGAAAGUGAAGUUUUAUAUAAGCAUGUUAAUUUUUGUGGAGUGGAUAGACCUCGUGAAAGGCCUAUGAUUGAAGAAGAGAAGUAUUGUAAGCAACAUAAGCAUGAACGAACAAUCACCUGGGUUAGAGAUUUAAAUGAGAUUCCUAGAGAAUUGUGUGACCUUUAUCCUUUUACUUGUGAACUUUGUGGUAUAUAGGGUCACUUUAAUUUUCAAUGCAUGAACUUUCAAAACAUAACUAUUAACCAGUUGUGUGAUAACAUGAUCACUUCUGAUCUUUAUGAUGAACUUAUGUUAUUUUUGAUGUGUGAAGAGUUAUCAGAAAAAACCUCUUGGCUAGAUGAUAAUGCCUUAGUAAUAAACAACACUUUGCAAAAAUUCCAUCGCUAUUGUGUUGUUAAUUACCAUGAAAAUGAUUACAUAAGUAAGAUUAGAAAGGAGGGAACUUUACCAAAGCAUAAAAAUGUCUCUUAUGUUUCCACUAAUAAAAAGGAGAGUUUCCCCUAUUGUUUCUAAUGAUAAACCGGAAUAUUUGGAGAAGCUUCCUCUCCAACCACUCCCUCCUAAGGUGAAUAAGAAGAAAAAGAAGAGUAGGAAGAGGAACAAGAAGGAAGAAGAAUGGGUAUCAACCUGGCCUGAGCAUAUUCCUUGCAUCACCUCUUAUCCUAACAGACAUAAAUUUAUGGAGGAUGGUGAGCUUGAUUGCAUUCAUUAUUAUCUUGAUGAUAAGUCCAUAGGUACUAUUGACGAUGAUUUUGAUUAUGAUAUACAUGUUACUUAUUGUGAUUGGGAAGAUGAUGAUAAUGCUACUUAUGAUCUUGAAAAUCUUUUUGGUACCAACUUUGAAAAUGAUGAUGUGGAAAGCUCUAAGCUUGGGGAUGAUAGGAUUGCAAGUCCUUUACCCAUUAGUGAUUUUUUAAUUGAUAAUUCUUUUGCUAGUAGGAAUAAAGACAACAUGUUUACAAAUAUAGUUGCUAGCAAUAAUAAUGCUCUUCUCUACCAUGAUGAUGUUAUAACUCCUAUCUAAAGUGACUGUAAAGAUACCUAUGACAUAAGGAGACAUUAUCCAUAUGAAACUUGUAAUAAUCAUGGAGGGAAUUACUCCUUGUUGAACACCAUCUCCCCAAUACACAAUUAAUCUAUAGUGUUCAGGUUGUUUAUGAUAGUCCUACUCCCACGAUUACCAAUGAGAAAGAUUAUGUUUAUGUGGAGAAUAAGAGUACCUUUUUGCAUGUGGAUCAUGGUAACAAUGCUUUAUGUCAUACUUAUAUUGUUGAGUUUAUUCAUGAUCCCACUGAAAAUUAUUACGAGAAGGGAACAUAUGCUUAUAGAUAUUUCAAUAAUAUCAAGUUCCCUCUCUUUAUGUCGAAGGUUUUGAAGCUGCACUUGUUUUGCCUUCCUAUGCUUAUUGUUUUGUGCUUCAAUGAAUUAUUAUAUUGCAAUAUUCCUAUGCAUAAGAAGCAUGUUAGAAUUAAAUGUGUUUGGUAUUUACUUCUAGAUGCUCUCUUUUGUUCUACAACUCUUAUUCCUACGAGAGCAUCAUUAAAAUCUUAAACCUAUCUUUAUGGCUAUAAAGAAAGAGCUCUAGGGAGACAACCCUUGUUAUCAUUACUUUGAGUUUUUCCUUUCAGAUUUUAAUGGUCUUGAUGUGUGUUACUACUAUAGCAACAUCAUUGUAUCUUUAUUUUUAAGCUUUGUGCCAAUUUUUAGCCUCCGAUUGCAAGAAAGUUCAAAAGUUGUGACAUGUUUUCCAGAAAUAGAUUCUGUGUGCUUGACGGAAAAAUUCACCGAAAAUCACCAGAUCAUCGUUUUGAUCUGAAAUAUUUUUAAAUUAUGCUAUAUACAAUUGACUUUCUGGCAUCUGUUCUGAGUUUUUUAAUUUGAGUUGCAUAAGUGCCCUGAAAAAUUAUUUACUACGUGUGUGUCUGUUUUUCACAGAUUCUGCCACGUUUUGCGUUUUCAUCGUUUUGCAAAUCUUAAGCUUGCCUUUUCUUUGCAAAAACUUUUUCGAAAUCUUGAGAAACAGUAGCUUUUCAUGAAAAUCUUUAUUUCAAGUGGAUAAAAAAUAUUUUAUUAUGGGUACUAACCACUCUAAUCAGCUUAUGAUGAGUUCUGUAUGAAGGGAGUUUUCAAGUAUGCGAUGGAAGAUGAUAAAGAAGAUCCAGGAGUGUCAAGCGCUCAAGCUUGGGGAUGCCCUCAUGCACCCCCAAGAAAUAUUCAAGGAGACUCAAGUGUCUAAGCUUGGGGAUGCCCCCGUGCAUCCCCAUCUCCAUCAACAAUCAUCAGUUCGUCCUUCUCCAUACUAUAUUUUUAUCACUUCAUAUGUUAUGUGCUAUGCUUGGAGCGUCCCGCUCUUUAUUUUUUUAGUUUGUUUUAGUUUUUCUUGUUGUUCAUAACAAUUUGGACUCUACCCUUCUUCGUUUGGGGGAGAAACACGCUCCACUCCACCAUAAAGCACAACAUAGGUUUUCAUGCUUAUCUUUUUGUGUGUUCUUUAUCUUUUCUUAGCUGUUGUCAUGCUUAGCUCUUAGUUUUCACGCUUUAUCUUUUUAAGAGCUUUUAUUUAGGUUGCUUUUGGAACUCUCUUGAGUUAUCAUGCUUAUCUUGUUUAGAGAGAUGGCUUGUUGCACUGAGUUGUGUGUCUUGCAUGAGUAGGUAACUGAGGUUGCUAUUUAAGUAUAGUAGUAACUUGCAAUAGUUUUGAGGUAUUGAUUUAAGCAAUGUUUGGACUAUUGGUGCAAAGAUCUUGAGCCUAUUAGUGAUAGGUGUCGUAUUUUGGGAAAUUCGUGAGUUUUUCAAAACUAAAAAAAAUAGUUGAGAACUCUAGCUACUAGAUGGAUCGUUAACCUUAGGAGGGGUUGGAAUAUAUAGAGUACCCUCACGUUAUCAUGGGCCGAGGAUGCGCAAGGAUAACCAAACUCCCAAACAAUCCUCCUCUAGGUACUUGUCUCUUUGUGAAUCUCCUGACUAGAUAGAGAGUUACCGUUAAUAAGUGCAUGAGUUCUUCGGACUAAUGUGAGUAUUGAUUGUUGGCACUUUCACCAUCCAUAUUUUGCAAGCCUCUUUGGUACCAUGCAUUGCCCUUUCUCAUCUUGAGAGUUGGUGCAAACUUCGCCGGUGCAUACAAACCCUUGGCCUGAUACGCUCUGUCAUCAUAAGCCUCAUUAUAUAUUUCCUCAAAACAGCCACCAUACCUACCUAUUAAGGCAUUUCCAUAGCCUUUCCGAGAUACAUUGCCAUGCAACAUCCACCAUCUCAUGACUUGAUCUUCAUGUCAUACAUGUUUUUGCAUGAUCGAGGAGCCUCAUACUAGUUGGGCCUUGCCCUUAUUAUUGCUACGUGAUGCACUAGUUUCAUUGCAUAUCCUGCUACACCCGCAGAGGCAUACAUUUGCAUACAUCAUGAUAGUUUUCAUUUGUCUCUAUGUUUAGUACUUCUUAUAAGUGUGAAGAUUUUCUUUUUAUUCUUGUAAAACAUAGAGUGUUGCCCUUAAGUGGGGAAAAGAUCCCAAAGAGGACAAAUUGAAAGAUCCCAAAGAGGACACAUGAAAAGAUCCCAAAGAGGACAAUGAUAGAUAAAAAGAAAGAGCCAAAGAGGCCACAAAAAAAAGAGAAGGGGGCAACACUACUAUUCCUUUUGAAAGAUCCACACUCGUACUCCAUUGUUAUAUUUGUACUCCAUAGAGAUUAUCAUUCAUGCAUAACUAUGUGGGGUCCCUUACACUAUAGAACUUGGCUUGUAUAUUCCAAUGAUGAGCCUCCUCAAAUGAGCUCUAGGUCUUCAUGAGCAAUCAAAUUUGAUGCAACCCCACUAGUUCCAUUGGAGAGCUUACCUUAGCUCAUAUGUGCAUCUGUUGCAUGGCAAUCCCUACUCCUCACAUCAUAUCUAUCAUUUGGCUUUCUCUCGCCUAUGGUUGUCCUCAUUGAUGUGAGCCUUUCACACAUUUUUGUCUUCCUUCCCCAUCAUUAUUCUAUUUGCCAUCCUAAGUGCCAACAUAUCUUGCUUGCGCUCAUCCAUUGCAUGAGUGCUCAAAGUCGAAAGGGAGAGGAUAAUUUUGACUUGUGCCUGACUAGUGGUCUGGGGAUGAGUCAAAAUAAGAUUCCGAAGGAGACCAAGUGUGAAGUUCUAGUAGACUGAGUUCUCAAUUAAAAUAUUUUUAUGCUCUAAACCCAUCUCCCACUUCUUGCCCGCAAACACCAUUUGGAGAUGUUCAAGUCAUGGACAUCGAGAGCUCUUGCACCUUUAUGUUCUUUGCUAUUUUCAAUACUAAAUAUAGACUCUUGCUUGUUAUUGUCUUGACUUGAAUUGCAUACCUUACUUGCUUUACUUUGAAGUUCUAAUAUGUGUGUUAGCAUGCCACCACAACAACUAUUUGUGUUAUCGUUUACCUACUCAAGGACGAGCAGGAAUUAAGCUUGGGGAUGUUGAUACGUCCCAAACGUAUCUAUGGUUUCUGUUUGGUCCAUGAUCUUUUGGGUGACAUUGUUAUACGUUUUGCUACAUUUUCAAACCUUUUUACACAUAUUUGGACUAACCUACUGAUAAGUCCAUUUUGCAUCAUGCUUUCAUGUUGAUAUUUAUCACUUUAUGGGCUGUUAUUACACUUCACGGUACAAUACUUAUACCUUUUCUCUCUUAUUUUGCAAGGUUUACAUGAAGAGGGAGAAUGCCGACACCUGGAAUUUUGGCCUAAAAAGGAGCAAGUUUGAGAUACCUAUUCUGCGCAACUCCAAGAGCCGUGAAAAUCAACGAGGAUUUAUUUUGGAAUUUAUAAAAAAUACUGGGCCGAAGAAUUACCAGAGGGGAGCCAGUAGGAGGCCACAAGUCUGCUAGGCGCGGCCUACCACACUGGCUGCGCCUAGGGGGCUUGUGGGCUCCCAUCUGGCCCUAUGGACCCCUCUUUUGCUAUAAGGAGGUUUUUGUUCCGGAAAAAAAAUCAAGAGGAGGCUUUUGGGAGGAAUCGCCGCCGCCACGAGGCGGAACUUGAGCAGAACCAAUCUAGAGCUCCGGCAGGGUCGUCCUGCCGGGGAAACCUCCCUCCCGGAGGGGGAAAUCGUCGCCAUCGUCAUCACCAACACUCCUCUCAUCAGAGGGGACUCAUCACCAUCAACAUCUUCAUUAGCACCAUCUCAUCUCUAAACCCUAGUUCAUCUCUUGUAACCAAUCUCCGUCUCGCGACUCAGAUUGGUACUUGUAAGGUUGCUAGUCGUGUUAAUUACUCUUUGUAGUUGAUGCUAGUUGGAUUACUCGGUGGAAGAUUAUAUGUUCAGAUCCUUGAUGCUAUUCAAUACCUCUCUGGUCAUGAAUAUUAUUAUGCUUUGUGAGUAGUUACUUUUGUUCCCGAGGACAUGGGAUAAGUCAUGCUAUAAGUAGUCAUGUGAUUUUGGUAUUCAUUCGAUAUUUUGAUGUGUUGUAUGUUGUCUCUCCUCUAGUGGUGUUAUGUGAACGUCGACUACAUAACACUUCACCAUUAUUUGGGCCUAGAGGAAGGCAUUGGGAAGUACUAAGUAGAUGAUGGGUUACUAGAGUGACAGAAGGUUAAACCCUAGUUUAUGCGUUGCUUCGCAAGGGGCUGAUUUGGAUCCACUAGUUUAAUGCUAUGGUUAGACUUUGUCUUAAUUCUGCUUUCGUAGUUGCGUAUGCUUGCGAGAGGGGUUAAUCAUAAGUGGGAUGCUUGUCCAAGUAAGGGCAGUACCCAAGCGCCAGUCCACCCACCUAUCAAACUAUCAAAGUAGCGAACGCGAAUCAUAUGAACAUGAUGAAAACUAGCUUGACAGAAAUUCCCAUGUGUCCUCGGGAGCGCUUUACCUCCUAUAAGAGUUUGUCCAGGCUUGUACCUUGCUACAAAAGGGAUUGGGCCACUUUGCUGCACCGUUGUUAAUUUUGUUACUUGCUACUUGCUACGAAUCAUCUUACCACACAACUACUUGUUACCGAUAAUUUCAGUGUCUGCAAAGAAUACCUUGCUGAAAACCACUUGUCAGAUCCUUAUGCUCCUCAUUGGGUUCGACACUCUAACUUAUCGAAAGGACUAGAUAGAUCACCUAUACGUGUGGGUCAUAAAGACUCUUUUCUGGCGCCGUUGCCGGGGAGUGAAACGCCUUUGGUAAGUGGAAUUUGGUAAGCAAACAUUUAUAUAGUGUGCUGAAAUUUAUUGUCACUUGUCACUAUGGAAACUAAUCCUUUGAGGAGCUUGUUCGGGGUAUCUUCACCUCGAACGGAAGCACAAAGAGUUGCUCCUCAACCUGCUGCACCUACUGAAAAUAUUUGCUAUGAAUUUCCUUUAGGUAUGCUUGAGAAACUGCUGGCUAAUCCUUUUACAGGAGAUGGAACAUCACAUCCCGACUUGAAUCUAAUCUAUGUAGAUGAAGUUUGUGGUUUAUUUAAGCUUGCAGGUUUUCCCGAGGAUGAGGUCAAGAAGAAGGUCUUUCCUUAUCUUAGAGGGAUAGAGCAUUGACAUGGUAUAGUCUAUGUGAUGAUACUGGAUCAUGGAACUACAACCGGGUGAAAUUGGAAUUUCAUCAAAAGUUUUAUCCUAUGCAUCUAGUACAUUGUGAUCGGAAUUAUAUUUAUAAUUUUUGGCCUCGUGACAGAGAAAGCAUCGCUCAAGCUUGGGGAAGGCUUAAAUCAAUGUUAUAUUCAUGCCCCAACCAUGAGCUCUCGAGAGAAAUUAUCAUUCAGAACUUCUAUGCUCGGCUUUCUCAUGAUGAUCACACCAUGCUUGACACUUCUUGUACCAGUUCUUUUAUGAAGAGAGAUAUUGACUUCAAAUGGAAUUUAUUGGAAAGAAUUAAACGCAACUUUGAAGAUUGGGAGUUUGAUGAAGGUAAGGAGUCAGGUAUGAAUUUCAAGUUUGAUUGCGUUAAAUCCUUUGUUGAAACAAAUACUUUUUGUGAUUUUAGCACUAAAUAUGGACUUGACUCUGAGAUAGUAGCUUCAUUGUGUGAAUCAUUUGCUGCUCAUAUUGAUCUCCCUAAAGAGAAGUGGUUUAAAUAUCAUCCUCCCUUAGAAGUCAAUGUAGUUAAACCCAAUCCAGUUGAAGAGAAAGUCAUUGCCUAUAAUGAUCCUGUUGUUCCCAGUGCUUACAUUGAGAAACCACCUUUCCCUGUUAGGAUAAAGGAUCAUUCUAAAGUUUCAACUGUGAUACGUAGGGGCUACAUUAGAACACCUACACCCCCUGAGCAAAUUAGAGUUGAACCUACCAUUGCUAUUAUCAAAGAUCUCCUGUCUGACGAUGUUGAGGGACAUGAUAUUCACUUCUAUGAAGAUGCUGCUAGAAUUGCUAAACCUCAUGCUAGAGACAAACAUAGGCCUGUUGUUGGCACGCCUGUUGUUUCUGUUAAGAUAGGAGAUCAUUGCUAUCAUGGUUUAUGUGACGUGGGUGCUAGUGUUAGUGCAAUACCUCAAUCCUUAUAUGAUGAAAUUAAAUACGAGAUUGCACCUAUUGAGAUGGAACCUAUUGAUGUCACUAUUCAGCUUGCCAAUAGAGAUACUAUCUGCCCUUUGGGAAUUGUUAGAGAUGUUGAAGUCUUGUGUGGUAAAACGAAGUAUCCUGCUAAUUUUCUCGUUCUUGCUACCACACAAGAUAGCUUUUGUCCCGUCAUAUUUGGCAGACCCUUCCUCAAUAUUGUCAAUGCUCAUAUUGACUGUGAGAAGCAAACUGUCACGGUUGGCUUUGAAGGUGUGUCACAUGAGUUCAAUUUCUCCAAGUUUGGUAGACAACCUCAUGAAAAAUAGUUGCCUAGUAAGGAUGAAAUUAUUGCCCUAUCUUCUAUUGCCGUUCCUCCUACUGAUACUUUAGAGCAAUACUUGCUUGAGCAUGAAAAUGAUAUGCAUAUGGAUGAAAGGGAUGAGAUAAAUAGAGUUAUCUUUGAACAAUAUCCUAUCCUUAAGAAUAAUUUGCCUGUUGAAUUGCUUGGAGAUCCACCCCCACCAAAGGGUGAUCCUGUGUUCGAGCUUAAACAGUUGCCUGAUACUCUUAAGUACGCUUAUCUUGAUGAAAAAGAGAUAUAUCAUGUUAUUAUUAGUGCUAGCCUCUCAGAGCAUGAAGAAAAGAAGUUACUAAAAACUCUGAGGAAGCACCGUGCUGCUAUUGGAUAUACUCUUGAUGAUCUUAAGGGCAUUAGUCCGACUCUAUGCCAGCACAAGAUUAAAACCGAUCCUGAUUCCAAACCAGUUGUCGAUCAUCAACGGAGAUUAAAUCCUAAGAUGAAAGAGGUAGUAAGAAAAGAAAUACUCAAGCUCCUGGAAGCAAGUAUUAUCUAUCCUGUUGCUCAUAGUGAUUGGGUAAGUCCAGUGCAUUUCGUCCCUAAGAAGGAAGGUAUUACCGUUGUCCCUAAUGACAAGGAUGAAUUGAUCCCACAGAGGAUUAUUACUGGCUAUAGGAUGGUGAUGGAUUUUAGGAAAUUGAAUAAAGCCACUAGGAAAGAUCAUUACCCUUUGCCUUUUAUCGACCAAAUGCUAGAAAGACUGUCUAAACACACACACUUCUGCUUUCUAGAUGGUUAUUCUGGUUUCUCCCAAAUACCACUUGCACAAUCUGACCAGGAGAAAACCACUUUCAUCUGCCCUUUCGGUACCUUUGCUUAUAGACGUAUGCCUUUUGGCUUAUGUAAUGCACCUGCCACCUUUCAAAGAUGUAUGAUGGCUAUAUUCUCUGACUUUUGUGAAAAGAUUGUUGAGGUUUUCAUGGACGACUUCUCCAUUUAUGGGUCUUCUUUUGAUGAUUGCCUCAGCAACCUUGAUCGAGUUUUGCAUAGAUGUAAAGAUAUCAAUCUUGUCUUGAAUUGGGAGAAGUGCCACUUUAUGGUUAAUGAAGGCAUCUUAUUAGGACAUAAAAUUUCUGAAAGAGGUAUUGAAGUCGAUAAGGCUAUGGUUGAUGCGAUCGAGAAAAUGCCAUGCCCCACAGAUAUCAAAGGUAUAAGAAGUUUCCUUGGUCAUGCUGGUUUCUAUAGAAGGUUCAUUCAAGACUUCUCUAAGAUUUCUAGGCCUCUUACCAAUCUCUUGCAAAAGGAUAUUCCUUUUGUUUUUGACGAUGAUUGUGAGGAAGCCUUCGAAAUACUUAAGAAGGCCUUGAUAACUGCACCUAUUGUUCAACCACCUGAUUGGAACUUACCUUUUGAAAUCAUGUGUGAUGCUAGUGAUUAUGCUGUUGGUUCUGUCCUAGGACAAAGAGUUAAUAAGAAGUUGAAUGUUAUUCACUAUGAUAGUAAAACUCUAGGCAGUGCCCAAAGGAACUAUGCUACUACUGAAAAGGAAUUUUUAGCACUCGUGUUUGCAUGUGAAAAGUUCAGAUCUUACAUAGUUGAUUCCAAAGUCACUAUUCACACUGAUCACGCUGCUAUUAAGUACAUCAUGGAAAAGAAAGACGCUAAACCUAGACUUAUCAGAUGGGUUCUCUUGCUACAAGAAUUUGAUUUGCAUGUUGUCGAUAGGAAGGGUGCUCAGAACCCAGUAGCAGAUAACUUGUCUAGGUUGGAUAAAGUUCUUGAUGACCCACAACCUAUUGAUGAUAGCUUUCCUGAUGAGCAACUGAAUGUCAUCAAUACCUCACGUAGUACACCGUGGUAUGCUGAUUAUGCAAAUUAUAUCUUUGCCAAACAUAUACCACCUAGUUUCACAUACCAGCAAAAUAAGAAAUUCUUCUUUGAUUUGAGACAUUACUUCUGGGAUGAUCCUCACCUUUAUAAGGAAGGAGUAGAUGGUGUUAUUAGAUGUUGUGUACCUGAACAUGAACAGGGACGGAUCCUACAAAAGUGUCACUCCGAGGCCUACGGAGGACACCAUGCGGGAGGUAGAACUACACACAAGGUAUUGCAAUCCGGUUUCUAUUGGCCCACUCUCUUCAAGGAUGCCCGUAAGUUUGUCUUGUCCUGUGAUGAAUGCCGAAGAAUAGGUAAUAUCAGUAAACGUCAGGAAAUGCCUAUGAACUAUUCACUUGUCAUUGAACCAUUUGAUGUUUGGGGCUUUGAUUAUAUGGGGCCCUUUCCAAAAUCCAACGGGUAUACUCACAUCCUAGUUGCUGUUGAUUACGUUACUAAGUAGGUAGAAGCUAUCCCAACUAGUAGUGCUGAUCACAACACCUCUAUGGGGAUGCUUAAAGAAGUUAUUUUCCCCAGAUUUGGAGUCCCUAGAUAUCUAAUGACCGAUGGUGGUUCACAUUUCAUUCAUGGUGAUUCCCGUAAAACGCUUGCUAAGUACGAUGUCAAUCAUAGAAUUGCAUCUCCCUAUCACCCUCAGUCCAGUGGUCAAGUAGAGCUAAGCAAUAGAGAGAUUAAACUAAUCCUGCAAAAGACUGUCAAUAGGUCUAGAAAGAAUUGGUCUAAGAAGCUCGAUGAUGCACUGUGGGCUUAUAGAACUGCUUAUAAGGAUCCCAUGGGCAUGUCUCUGUACAAAAUGGUUUACGGUAAAGCAUGUCAUUUACCUCUUGAGCUAGAGUAUAAGGCUCAUUGGGCAAUCAAAGAGCUCAACUUUGAUUUCAAACUUGCUGGUGAGAAGAGGUUAUUUGAUAUUAGCUCGCUUGAUGAAUGGAGAGCCCAGGCAUAUGAAAAUGCCAAGUUGUUCAAAGAAAAUGUUAAGAGGUGGCAUGAUAAAAGGAUACAGAAACGUGAGUUCAAUGUAGGUGAUUAUGUCUUGCUAUUUAAUUCUCGUUUAAGAUUUUUUGUACGCAAGUUUCUCUCUAAAUAGGAAGGUCCUUACAUUGUUGAGGAAGUAUAUUGUUCUGGUGCCAUCAAGAUCAACAACACGGAAGGUAAUUUUCCGAGAGUGGUAAAUAGGCAAUGAAUCAAGCAUUAUAUCUGAGGUACUCCCAUAAAUGUUGAAAGCAAUAUUAUCAAUACCAUAACUCCGGAGGAGUACAUAAGAGAUAUUUAUCAGCCCGUUUCAGACUCUGAAAACGAAGAGGUAUGUGAUUCGGUAAGUAAACCGACUCCAAAACUUUUCCAGUAGGAAUUUUUCUCUGUUUUGCAAUUUUUAGAAAAUUAGAAAAAUUUAAAGCAGUCCGGAGAGCGUACAAGGAGGCGACAAGCCUUCCUGGCGCGAGCCACCCCCCUGGCCGCGCCUGGGGGGCUUGUGACCACCUCAUGUGCCUCCCGGACUCCGUUUUCUUGCGGAGUACUCCUUCUGGUCGGAAAAAAAUCAUUAUAUAUUUUCCCGAAAGGUCUAACCCUCGUAUCACGCAAAUUACACUGUGUUUUCGUUUCGAGCCUGUUUCUGCCGCAGAUUUAGAGCAAGAUGUCGUCUCAGGAAUAUGUAUGGGAGAACGAUCUCCCUCAAGUCUCUGAAGACGUAAAUGCUGAUCUGAAAAGAAUGGAGGCCAAGGAAAGGCUACCUGAAGAAACUAAGGGCAAAAAUAAGGAGAAGAAUCCGGCGUUGGACGAAGGGCAAUGUGUGCUCAACAAGGAAGAAGCUGAGGAAGAGGAUUUACUUCAACCCUACCUCCACCUUUUACCUCCAUCCUUGAUCGAGCUCUUGAGAUUAUGUGAAAUAACUCGUGUUCAUAAUACUUAUCUUACCCGUGAAGUUGUUUUGCUGGAGAAACAUAUCACAGAACUCCAAGGUAUAAAUCAAAGAUUGAUGGCCCUCUUGGAAUCAAAAGACAAGACAACUCCACCACCAUCACCUCCGAAGGAAGACAACUAAACACGGGUAUGGGCAAUCCCCUUGGCUUGUGACAAGCUUGGGGGAGUUGCCUCGGUAUCGUAUCAUCAUCACAUCUUUUGCCUUUACCUUUUCUUAGUUUAAUACUUUUUUGUUUUAUCUUUCUCUAGUAGAAUAAAGUUCUUAGCGUUUUAGGUUUGAGUUUUGCUUUGUGUAACCCCCGAUGUAUUCGACUUCGUGAUUCAUAUAAUAAAGAGUGUUUUAGUUAAGGGCCUUGCUUCAUGCCAUGAUCUAAAGAAAAGAAUGAUAAAAGAACAAAAGCAUGAAAGAUCAUGUAAUGAUCUUAUGGGAAGUGAUGACUUCACAUAUAAAAAGAAUGUUGAUUGAAACUUGUUGUGGGUGGACAAACGUAGACCUUGGUCAUUGCUGCAAUUAAUAGGAAGUAAUAAAGAAAGAGAGGUUCACAUAUAAAUAUAUCAUCUUGGGCACCAUCUAUGAUUGUGAACACUCACUAAACUAUUACAUGCUAAGUAGUAGAUGUUGGACAAGGAAGACAACAUAAUGAAUUAUGUUUGCUUGGUUCCGAACAAUGUUAUAUGACUAGAUAUCCCUUAGCAUGUGACGAUUGCUUCCACCUCAUAUCAGCCAAAACUCCCGCACCAAGUAGAGAUACUACUUGUGCAUCCGUAAACCUUCAACCCAGUUUUGCCAUGAGAGUCCACCAUACCUACCUAUGGAUUGAAUAAUAUCCCUCAAGUAAGUUUUCAUCGGUGCAAGCUAUAAAAAUUGAUUCCUAAAUAUGUAUGAUAUACUAGUGUGUGGAAAAUAAGGUUUGUACGAACCUGUGAUUAGGAAGACAUAAAAGCGACAGACUGCAUAAUAAAGUUCUUUAUCACAGGAGGCAAUAUAAAGUGACGUUCCUUCACACUAAAAGGACACACAUCCAAACCUCAAAAGCGCAUGACAACCUCUGCUUCCCUCUUCGAAGGGCCUAUCUUGUACCUUUACUUUUUUCCCUUGAAAGAGUCAUGGUGAUCUACACCAAUUCCUUAUUUCGCCUUUUUCUUGGCUAACGUCAUAUGCUAGGGAAAGAUCUAUAUUCAUAUAUCAACUUGGAAGUAAGUGUUCAUGAAUAAUUAUUGUUGACAUUACCCUUGAGGCAAAUGGCUGGGAGGCGAAACUAUAAGCCCCUAUCUUUCUCUGUGUCCAACUGAAACUUUGAUCUCAUGAGUACCACGUGAGUUGUAGCAAUUGUAGAAGACAAAAGGAUGAUUGAGUAUGUGGAUUUGCUUUACAAGCUCUUACUUGACUCUUUCUGAUGUUAUGAUAAAUUGCAAUUGCUUCAAUGACUAAAGGCUAUUGGUUGUUAAUUCUUAGUAAGGUUUUUGAUCCAUACUUUACUUUGUGAAGGAAUUGUCACUUUAGCAUGAGAGAUUAUGUGAUGAUAUUGUUGUUCUGAUUAUGAUCAUGAUGCCUGCAUGUCCAUAUCUUGUUUUGUCGACACCUCUCUCUCUAAACAUGUGGGUAUAUUUAUUGAUCUCGGCUUUCGCUUGAGGACAAGCGAGGUCUAAGCAUGGGGGAGUUUAUACGUCCAUUUUGCAUCAUGCUUUCAUGUUGAUAGUUAUUGCUUUAUGGGCUCUUAUUACACUUCACGGUACAAUACUUAUGCCUUUUCUCUCUUAUUUUGCAAGGUUUGUAUGAAGAGGGAGAAUGCCGACAGCUGGAAUUCUGGCCUGAAAAAGGAGCAAGUUUGAGAUACCUAUUCUUCGCAACUCCAGAAGUCGUGAAAAUCAACGAGGAUUUAUUUUGGAAUUAAUAAAAAUACUGGGCCGAAGAAGUACCAGAGGGGAGCCAGCAGGAGACCACAAGCCUCCUAGGCGCGGCCUACCCCCCUGGCCGCGCCUAGAGGGCUUGUGGGCUCCCAGCUGGCCCUUUGGCCCCCCCUCUUUUCCUAUAAGGAGGGUUUCCUUCUGGAAAAAAAUAAAGAGGAGGCUUUCGGGAGGAAUCGCCACCGCCACGAGGCGGAACUUGAGCAGAACCUAUCUAGAGCUCCGGCACGGUCGUCCUGUCGGGGAAACUUCCCUCCCGAAGGGGGAAAUCAUCACCAUUGUCAUCACCAACACUCCUCUCAUCGGAGGGGACUCAUCACCAUCAACAUCUUCAUCAGCACCAUCUCAUCUCCAAACCAUAGUUCAUCUCUUGUAACCAAUCUCCGUCUCGCGACUCCGAUUUGUACUUGUAAGGUUGCUAGUAGUGUUAAUUACUCUUUGUAGUUGAUGCUAGUUGGAUUACUUGGUGGAAGAUUAUAUGUUCAGAUCCUUGAUGCUAUUCAAUACCACUCUAGUCAUGAAUAUGAUUAUGCUUUGUGAGUAGUUACUUUUGUUCCUGAGGACAUGAGAUAAGUCAUGCUAUGAGUAGUCAUGUGAAUUUGGUAUUCGUUCGAUAUUUUGAUGUGUUGUAUGUUGACUCUCCUCUAGUGGCGUUAUGUGAACGUCUGAUGACCCACAAGUAUCGGGGAUCAAUCAUAGUCCUUUCGAUAAGUAAGAGUGUCGAACCCAAUGAGGAGCAGAAGGCUCUGGUAAACAGUUUUCAGCAAGGUAAUAACUGCAGGCAGUGAAAGUAGCGGUAACAAGUGAUGGUGUAGUGAGGUAAAACGUAGCAAGCGAAAAGUAACAAGUAAAAAGUAGUAGCAAUGGUGCAGCAAGUGGCCCAAUCCCGUUUGUAGCAAGGGACAAGCCUGAACAAAGUCUUACAGGAGGAAAAACGCUCCCGAGGACACACGGGAAUUUCUGUCAUGCCAGUUUCAUCGUGUUCAUAUGAUUCACGUUCGUUACUUUCAUAGUUUGAUAUGUGGGUGGACUGGCGCUUGGGUACUGCCCUUACUUGGACAAGCAUCCCACUUAUGAUUAACCCCUCUCGAAAGCAUUCGCAACUAAGAAAGAAGAAUUAAGACAACGUCUAACCAUAGCAUUAAACUAGUGGAUCCAAAUCAGCCCCUUACGAAGCAAUGCAUAGAUUGGGGUUUAAGCUUCUGUCACUCCAGCAACCCAUCAUCUACUUACUACUCCCCAAUGCCUUCCUCUAGGCCCAAAUAUGGUGAAGUGUUAUGUAGUCGACGUUCACAUAACACCACUAGAGGAAAAACAACAUACAACAUAUCAAAAUACCGAACGGAUAUCAAAUUCACAUGACUAUUAUUAACAUGACUUAUCCCAUGUCCUCAGGGACAAAAGUAACUACUCACAAAGCAUAAUCAUAAUCAUGAUCAGAGGUGUAAUUAAUAGCAUCAAGGAUCUGAACAUAAACUCUUCCACCAAGUAAUCCAACUAGCAUCAACUACAAAGAGUAAUCAACACUACUAGUAACCUUACAAGUACCAAUUGGAGUCGUGAGACGGAGAUUGGUUACAAGAGAUGAACUAGGGAUUGGAGAGGAGAUGGUGCUGAUGAAGAUGCCUCCCCUCCGACGAGAGGACUGUUGGUGAUGACGAUGGCGAUGAUUUGCCCCUCUGGGAGGGAAGUUUCCCCGGCAGGAUCGUCCUGCCGGAGCUCUAGAUUGGACGUGCUCAAGUUCCGCCUUGUGGCGGCGGCGAAACCACGAAAAAGCUCCCGGUUGACUUUUUCUGGAACGAAACCCAUCAUAUAGCAAAAGAGGGGGGGCUAGUGGGCCGUCAGGGAGCCCACAAGCUUGCCAUCCGCCACCAGGGGGUGGCGGUGGCAGGGCUUGUGGCGCCCUGGUAGCCCCCCUCCGGUACUUCUUUCGCCCAGUAUUUUUUAUAUAAUCCCAAAGAAUUCCACGUAAAUUUUCAGGGCAUUUGGAGAUGUGCAUAAUAGUGGACUAAGAUUUGCUCCUUUUCUAGUCCAGAAUUCCAGCUGCCUGAAUUCUCCCUCUUCAAAUAAACCUUGCAAAAUAAGAGAGAAAAGGCAUAAAUAUGGUACCACAAAGUAAUAUAACAACCCAUAAAGCAAUAAAUAUCAACAUGAAAGCAUGAUGCAAAAUGGACGUAUCAAUGUCGACUACAUAACACUUCACCAUUAUUUGGGCCUAGAGGAAGGCAUUGGGAAGUAGUAAGUAGAUGAUGGGUUGCUAGAGUGAUAGAAGCUUAAACCCUAGUUUAUGCGUUGCUUCGCAAGGGGCUGAUUUGGAUCCACUAGUUUAAUGCUAUGGUUAGACUUUGUCUUAAUUUUUCUUUCGUAGUUGCGGAUGCUUGCGAGAGGGGUUAAUCAUAAGUGGGAUGCUUGUACAAGUAAGGGAAGUACCCAAGCGCCGGUCCACCCACCUAUCAAANGAGACCAUGGUGACAGCGGUCUAUAGGACAUGGAUUAGAAGAAUAUUUACAUGAGUGAUUUCCUCUUUUCUGAAUUGAUUGAAGAUUGAGAGUCUCUUGGUGCUUGUCUUUGACUAUCCUUGAGAUACGUUGUGGUGAUUGUGGUACUCUUUUUGGAUGGCCGCGGUGACAUUGGGAAAUCCAUAGAUGAGAACUACAAACUCUGAGGUGUGCUAUUGUAGCCCUACAUAAUUCUCGUCCUCUCUUGAUCACAAUGGAAUGACCUCCGAGUACGUCUCCAUUGCAUGUUUUAGUGGAAAUAUCAUGUGAUUAGACUAUGUUAAUGUUGUUGGGAGUUUCCACUAGUGAAAGUAUGGAGCCUAGGCCUUGUUUCUCACCAUUGUUACACCGUUUGUGCUCACUUUUGUCACUUGCUACCUUGCUGUAAUUUUUAUUACAGAUUUAUAUUACCUUGCUUUGCCACACCUAUCACCCAUAUUUUACCAUCUCUUCGCCGAACUAGUGCACCUAUACAAUUUACCAUUGUAUUAGGUGUGUUGGGGACACAAGAGACUUCUCGUUUCUUAAUUGCAGGGUUGCUUGAGAGAGACCAUCUUCACCCUCUACUUCCCUGAGUUCGAUAAACCAUAGGUCAUCCACUUGAGGGAAAUUGCUUCUAUCCUACAAACCUCUGUGCUUGGAGGUCUACAAGAAUAGAAGCGUGCAUAGACAUCACAGCACAAUGAUGGAGAUCAUGGUGCGACGCCGGUGACGAUGGAGAUCAUGUCGGUGCUUCGGCGAUGGAGAUCAAGAAGCACAAGAUCAUGGCCAUAUCAUGUCACUUAUGAUUUGCAUGUGAUGUUAAUUCUUUUAUGCACCUUAUUUUGCUUAGGAUGACGGUUGCAUUAUAAGGUGAUCCAUCACUAAAAUUUCAAGAUAAAAUUGUGUUCUCCCCGACUGUGCACCGUUGCGAGUUCGUCGUUUCAAGACACCACGUGAUGAUCGGGUGUGAUAGACUCUACAUUCAUAUACAACGGGUGCAAAACAGUUGCGCACGCGGAACACUCGGGUUAAACUUGAUGAGCCUAGCAUGUAUAGACAUGGCCUCGGAACACAAGAGACCGAAAAGUCGAGCAUGAAUCAUAUAGUUGAUAUGAUCAACAUGGAGAUGUUCACCAUUGAAACUAAUCUCGACUCACGUGAUGAUAAAACUUGAGUUAGUGGAUUUGGAUCGUGCGCCAAUCGAAUAACUAGAGGGAUGUCUAUUUGAGUGGGAGUUAUUAAGUAAUAUGAUUAACUAAACUCAUUAUCAUCAACAUAGUCAAGAUGUCUUUGCAAAUUAUGUUAUAGCUUGCGUUGUAGCUCUACUAUUUUUGAUAUGUUCCUAUAAAAAAAUUAGUUCAAAGAUGAUAGUAUCAAUUAUACGGACUGGGUCCGUAAACUGAGGAUUGUCCUCAUUGCUGCACAGAAGGCUUAUGUCCAUAUUGCACCGCUCGGUGUGCUGAACCCCGAACAUCGUCUGUAGAUGUUGCGAUCAUCUGACAUACACGUUUUUGAUGACUACAUGAUAGUUCGGUGCAUAAUGCUUGAACGACUUAGAGUUGAGGCGCCGAAGACGUUUCGAACUUCACGGGACAUAUGAGAUGUUCCAAUAGAUGAAAUUCGGAUUUUAGGCUCAUGCCCGUGUUGAGAGGUAUAAGACCUCCGACAAGAUUCUUUGUGUACAAAGUAAGGGAGAAAAGCUCAAUCGUUGAGCAUGUUCUCAGAUUGUCUCGGUACUACAAUCGCUUGAAUCGAGUGGGAGUUGAUCUUCCAGAUAAGAUAGUGAUUGACAUAGUUCUCCAAAGUCACUGCCACCAAGCUACAGAGCUUCGUGAUGAACUAUAACAUAUCAGGGAUAGAGAUGAUGAUCCUUGAGCUAUUUGUGAUGUUUGACACCGCAAAGGUAGAAAUCAAGUAGGAGCAUCAAGUGUUGAUGGUUAGUAGAACCACUAGUUUCGAGAAGGCUAAGGGUUGAAAGGGAUACUUUAUGAAAUGGCAAACCAGUUGUCACUCUAGUAAAGAAACCCAAGGUUGAACCCAAACCUGAGACUAAGUGCUUCUAUUAUCAGGGGAAUGGUCACUGAAGCGGAGCAACCCUAAUUACUUGGUAGAUGAGAAGGCUGGCAAAGUCAACAAAAGUAUAUUGGAUAUACAUGAUUUUUAUGUGUACUUUCCUAGUACUCCUAGUAGCACACGGGCAUUAGAUACCGGUUCGGUUGCUAAGUGUUAGUAACUCGAAAUAAAAGUUGCGGAAUAAACGGAGACUAGCUAAAGGCGAGGUGACGAUGUGUGUUGGAAGUGUUUCCAAGGUUGAUGUGAUCAACAUCGCACACUCCCUCUGCCAUCGGGAUUAGUGUUGAACCUAAAUAAAUAUUAUUUGGUGUUUGUGUUGAGCAUGAACAUGAUUGGAGCGUGUUUAUUGUAAUACGGUUAUUCAUUUAAGUUAGAGAAUAAAAGUUGUUCUAUUUACAUGAAUGAUACCUUCAAUGGUCAUGCACCAAUGUGAAUGGUUCAUUGAAUCUCGAUCGUAGUGAUACACAUGUUUAUAAUAUUGAUGCCAAAAGAUGCAAAGUAGUAAUGAUAGUACCACUUAAUUGUGGAACGGCCUCUUGAGUCAUAUUGGUGUAAAACGUAUGAAAAAGUUCCAUACUGAUGGAUCUUUGGACUCACUCGUUUUGAAUCGUUUGAGACAUACGAACCAUGCCUAUUGGUGUAAACGCAUGAAGAAACUCCAUGUAGAUAGAUCGUUUGGACUCAUUUGAUUUCGAAUCACUUGAGACAUGCAAAUCAUGCCACAUGGGGAAGAUGACUGAAGGCCUCGUUUUCCAUUGAGAUGGAACAAGAGAGUAACUUAUUGGAAGUAAUACAUUUUGAUGUGUGCAGUCCAAUGAGCGCCGAGGCACGUAGUGGAUAUCAUUAUGUUCUUACUUCACAGAUGAUUUGAGUAGAUACUAGUAUAUUUACUUGACGAAACACAAGUCCGAAUUAUUGAAAGGUUCAAGUAAUUUCAGAGUGAAGUUGAAGAUCGUUGUGACAAGAGGAUGAAAUUCUACGAUAUGAUUGUAGAGAUAUAUGUGUGAGUUGCGAGUUUGGUACACAUUAAGACAAUGUGGAAAUUGUUUCACAACUAAUGUCACCUAGAUUAUCAUGGUGUGAUGGUGUGUCCGAACAUCGUAGGCGCGCCCUAUUAAGAUAUGGUGCAUACUAUGAUGCCUCUUAUCGAAUUACCACUAUCAUUUUGGGGCUAUGCAUUGGAGACAACACAUUCACUUUUAGAAGGGUGCCAUGUAAGUUCCAUUGAGAUGACACCAUAUGAACUGUGGUUUGGAGAAACCUAAGGUGUCAUUUCUUUAAAUUUUGGGGCUACUAUGCUUAUGUCCAAAGGCUUCGGCCUGAUAAGAUCGAACCCAAAUUGGAUAAAUGCAUCUUCAUAGGAUACCCAAAAUAGUUGGGUAUACCUCCUAUCUCAUAUCCGAAAGGAAAGUGUUUGUUUCCGACAACGGGUCCUUUCUCGAGAAAGAGUUUCUCUCGAAAGAAUUGAGUGGGAGGAUGCUGGAACUUGACGAGGUUACUGAACCAACACUUCAACCAGAGAGUAGAAGGGAGCAGGAAGUUGUUCAUGUGGCACCUACACAAGUUGAAGUGGAAGCUGAUGAUGGUGAUCAUGAAGCUUCGGAUCAAGUUACUACCAAACCUCGUAGGUCGACAAGGAUACGCGCUACUACGGAAUGGUACAGUAAUCUUGUCUUGGAGGUCAUGUUGCUAGACAACAAUCAACCUAUGAGCUAUGGAGAAGCGAUGGUGGGCCCGGAUUCCAAAAAAUGGCUGAAGGCCAUGAAAUCCGAGAGAGGAUCCAUGUAUGAAAACAAAGUGUGGACUUUGGAAGAACUACUUGAUGGUCAUAAGUCUGAUAAGUAUAGAUGGAUCUUCAAAAGGAAGACAGACGAUGAUGGUGAAUGUCAACAUUUAAGAAAAGCUCGACUUGUUGCAAAUAGGUUUCCGACAAGUUCAAAGAGUUUACUAUGAUGAGCCUUUCUCACUCAUAGCGAUGCUAAAAUUCGUUGGAAUUAUGUUAGUAGUUGUUGCAUUUUUCAAUUGUGAAAUCUUGCAGAUGAAUGUCAAAACAUUGUUUCCUUGUGGAAAGGUUGUAUGUGAUGCAACCAGAAGGUUUUGUCGAUCCUAAGGAUGCUAACAAGUGUGCAAGCUCCAACGAUCCUUCUAAGGACUGGAGUGAGCAUCUCGGAGUUGGAUUAUGCGCUUUGAUAAGAUGAUCAAAGCUUUUGGGUUUAUACAAAGUUUAUGAGAAACUUGUAUUUCCAAGGAAGUGAGUGGGAGCACUAAAAUUUCUGAUGAGUAUAUGCGGUUGACAUAUUGUUGAUGAGAAAUGAUGUAGAAUUUUUGGAAAGCAUAUAGGGUUGUUUGAAAAGGUGUUUUCAAAGGAAAAACCUGGAUUAAGCUACUUGAACAUUGAGCAUCAAGAUCUAUAGAGAUAGAUCAAGACGCUUGAUAAAACUUUCAAUGAAAUGCAAGCCUUGACAACUUUUUGAAGGAGUUCAAAAUAGACCGACAAAGAAUGAGUUCUUUGCUAUGUUGUAAGGUGUGAAUUUGAGUAAGACUCAAAGCUCAACCACGGCAGAAAAAGGAAAAAGGAUGAAGGUCGUCCCCUAUGACUUAGCCAUAGGCUCUAUAGUAUGCUAUGCUGUGUACCGCACCUAAUGUGUGCCUUGCCAUGAGUCUGUCAAGGGGUACAAAGGUGAUCCAGGAAUGGAUUACUGGACAGCGGUCAAAAGUUAUCCUUAGUAACUAGCUGACUAAGGAAUUUUUCUCAAUUAUGGAGGUGAUAAAAGAGUUCGUCGUAAAGAGUUACGUCGAUGCAAGCUUUGACACUAAUCCGGAUGACUUUGAGUAGUAAACCUGAUUCGUAUAGUGGAGUAGUCAUUUGAAAUAGUUCCAAAUGGCACGUAGUAGCAGCAUCUACACGAUGACAUAGAGAUUUGUAAAGCACACACGGAUCUGAAAGGUUCCUACCCGUUGACUAAAAAUCUCUCUCACAAGCAAGACAUGAUUAAACCCCACAACUGUAUGGGUGUUAGAUUCAUCAAAAUCACAUAGUGAUGUGAAACUAGAUUAUUGACUCUAGUGCAAGUGGGAGACUCUUGAAAAUAUGCCCUAGAGGAAAUAAUAAUUGGUUAUUAUUAUAUUUCCUUGUUCAUGAUAAUCGUUUAUUAUCCAUGCUAUAAUUGAAUUGAUUGGAAACUCAAAUACAUGUGUGGUUACAUAGACAAAACACUGUCCCUAGUGAGCCUCUAGUUGACUAGCUCAUUGAUCAAAGAUGGUUAAGGUUUCCUAGCCAUAGACAAGUGUUGUCACUUGAUAAUGGGAUCACAUCAUUAGGAGAAUGAUGUGAUGGACAAGACCCAAACUACGAACGUAGCAUAUGACCGUGUUAGUUUAUUGCUACUAUAUUCUGCAUGUCAAUGUAUCUGUUCCUAUGACCAUGAGAUCAUGCAACUCCCACACACCGGAGGAAUGCCUAGUGUGUAUCAAACAUCACAACGUAACUGGGUGACUAUAAAGGUGCUCUACAGGUAUCUCCAAAGGUGUCUGUUGGGUUGGCAUGAAUCGAGACCGAGAUUUGUCACUCCGUACGACGGAGAGGUAUCUCGGGGCCCACUCGGUAAUACAACAUCACAAUAAGCCUUGCAAGCAAUGUAACUAAGGAGUUAGUCACGGGAUCUUGUAUUACAGAACGAGUAAACAGACUUCCCGGUAACGAGAUUGAACUAGGUAUGGAGAUACCGACGAUCGAAUCUCAGGCAAGUAACAUACCGAAGGACAAAGGGAACAACAUACAAGAUUAACUGAAUCCUUGACAUAGAGGUUCAACCAAUAGUGAUCUUCGUAGAAUAUGUAGGAGCCAAUAAGGACACCCAUGUCACGCUAUUGGUUAUUCACCGGAGAGCGUCUCGGUCAUGUCUGCAUAGUUCUCGAACCCGCAGGGUCUGCACACAUAAUAUUUGGUGAUGAUUUGGUAUUAAUGAGUUAUGUGUGGUAGUAACUAAAAGUUGUUCGGAGUCCCGGAUGAGAUACCGGACACCAAGAGGAGCUCCGGAAUGGUCCGGAGGUAAAUAUAUAUAUAUAUGGGAAGUCAAAUUUUUUCUACCGGAAAAGUUUUGGGGUUUUUCUAUAUUGUACCUGGAAGCUUCUAGAACAUUUCGGAAACUUCUGGAGGAAUCCGGAAGUCCACCAAGGGUUCCACCACGUCCCAAGGUUUUGCAUGGGCUGAGGGGAGACGUUGUGGCCUUAUUGGGCCAAGCGCACAAGUCUCUCAAGGCCCAUGCAGUUGGGAAAGGUGGAAAGUCCACCUGUGUAUGGAAGGUAAGGAAGGGGACUAGGAUUCCACCUCCUCUCUCCUUGGCUGCGCCCUAGGGCUUGGAGGAGCUGUCCUGCACGCCCCUCCACCUAUAUAUAGGGAGGAGGGGUGCCCCAAGAGCACACACGAAGCCCUUGGCGCCCCUCUCUCUUCCUAGAUCGUUUUCUCCUUCGUUCGCGGUUUCGGUAGUGCUAGGUGUAGCCCUGUCGAGAUAACACUACCACCACCCCGUCGUGUUGCCGGAGAACUUAUCUACUACUCAUCCCUCGCUCGCUAGAUCGAGGAGGCGGAGACGUCAUCGAGCUGUACGUGUGCUGAAUCCGGAGGUGCCGUCCGUUCGACACUAGAUCGGGAUGGAUGGAUCAUGAUGAGAUCGCGGGAUGGGCUGCGAUUUGGAUCGCGAAGAUGCUCCACUACAUCAACCGCGUUAUAUACGUUUCCGCUCAGCGAUCUACAAGGGUAUAUAGAUUCAAUCUCUCCUCUCGUAGAUGAUCAUCACCAUGGAUAGGUAUUGUGUGUGCGUAGAUUUUUUUUUGUUUCGCAUGCAACGUUCCCCAACACUACACUGCAUUAAUGUCGGAUAAAAAUCUUAUAAACCGCUGCGAAUAUGAAAAAAGGAUCAACAUGGAAAAGUUGCAUGUUUACAGCAGUUCUUCGUCGGUAUAUCAUUUGCUCAAUUCUGGUUAAUGGGUGGAGUGUUACAAGCAAAAACUCCAACACGUGAAUAACAGGGUGAAGUUUAGGUAGAAAUGCCAAGGAGUUCAAGUUCUUCAAACGGUGCAUUUUCGAAGAAUCCGUUUCACGAAAAAGGCGUUCUUGAAAACAUCUAGGAAUCAGAGAAAACCAUCUACAUGAAACAGUUUCGCAUUUUCUGUAGAUUUUCAACGAUAUAUUAUUUGCCCCGUUCAAAUAAAGUUUGUAACAACUACGGAAAAAAAACAUUUUUAGCCAUUUUUAAAACUGUCUUAAAACCAUAUGGAAUUGGAAAAACAAUCUACAUAUAAAACUUUCGCAUUUGUUCAAGAUUUCGAACGCCAUAUCAUUUUCUCCAUUCCGAGUAACUAAUAAGAAAUUUGUAAAAACUACGCUGAAAAAAUAUUUUUAGCAAUUUUUAAAACUAACAUAAAACUGUAAAGAAUUGGAAAAAAAAUCUACAUAUAAAAGUUUUGCAUUUUCUCAAUCUUUCCAACGCCAUAUCCUUUGCUCCAUUUUGAGUAACCAUUGAGAAAUUAAAGCGAAAAUAGGAAGUCGGUACAACUUGUGCUGUUUUCUAAAUUACUUUUAAACCGUUAAUACUUGGAAGAAACUUUUUAUAUGAAAACCUGUGAAUUUUCAUUAGCUUUAAAAAGCCAUAUCGUUUGCAUCAAUUGGACUAGCCGUUUGCAAAUUAACCCCGAAAUACUAACCCGGCUGUUCGAUUUAAAAACUUAUGCCAUUUUGAAAUUCCUCUUUAACCGUAGGGAAUUUGGAAAAACUUUCAAUGUAUGAAACGAGGGGAUUUGCAGAAGCUAUUCAACGCCAUCUCAUUUGCCUCAUUUCAACAAACGGUUUAGAAAUAGGAUGGAAAAUUUCAUUCACGUUUUUUGUAUGAACAAACACGGUUUCAAAAACUGCUUUUAAACCGUGAAUAUUUUGAUAAAAAUUCAAACUACCCCGUUACGAGGGUGUCCAUAGCUUUCAAACGGUAUAUCACAAGCCUCAUUUGAACACUUUUAGUGGAAGUUCAAGGAAGUUCAAGUGCUAUUCUUGAGACGAGUCAACGUGAAAUCAGAAUAGUUAUUCUCAUCCCAGGAUCAAAAUAAUGUUUAUAUAUAUCUAUACCAUGUGGUACUAUAUAUAUUAAUUUAUCAUUUUGAGUAUGUUCACAUACUAUAUAUAAGAUACUACAAAGUGUGUUACAAGAUUUUUUUUUUUUGAUUUUUUUUCUAAUAUUAUGAAAUACGUACAUAUUUAUAUGUAAAAAUAAGUAUGCUAAAAAAUAUGAUACAUACUACCUAAAAAGUAGUAUAUAUAUUAUCUAAAUAUUCUUAUAUAUUAAAUACUACGCGUACGUACUCUCCGAUAUGAUAGAUAUUACAUACAACCUACCAAACAAAAGUGGAAGUAACUACACACAGUCAUACGAAACAUAUAUAUAUAUAUAUNNNNNNNNNNNNNNNNNNNNNNNNNNNNNNNNNNNNNNNNNNNNNNNNNNNNNNNNNNNNNNNNNNNNNNNNNNNNNNNNNNNNNNNNNNNNNNNNNNNNNNNNNNNNNNNNNNNNNNNNNNNNNNNNNNNNNNNNNNNNNNNNNNNNNNNNNNNNNNNNNNNNNNNNNNNNNNNNNNNNNNNNNNNNNNNNNNNNNNNNNNNNNNNNNNNNNNNNNNNNNNNNNNNNNNNNNNNNNNNNNNNNNNNNNNNNNNNNNNNNNNNNNNNNNNNNNNNNNNNNNNNNNNNNNNNNNNNNNNNNNNNNNNNNNNNNNNNNNNNNNNNNNNNNNNNNNNNNNNNNNNNNNNNNNNNNNNNNNNNNNNNNNNNNNNNNNNNNNNNNNNNNNNNNNNNNNNNNNNNNAUAUAUAUAUAUAUAUAGGGUCGCGCUAUUCGUCACCCUGGGUGAGGAAUAAUUAUUCUUCACCCCCUCUAUUUUAACAUCAAUGCAUCGUAAUUUUACGUUACGUAUUUUUUUUUCUUAUUCCAUACAUAAAAAGAGACCGUAAGAAAAUGUAUAAUCAUCGUAAAAUUUAUUUUUGUUACGUAAAAUUACAAACGUAAAAACAUAGCGUAAAAUAUACAUAAAAUGNNNNNNNNNNNNNNNNNNNNNNNNNNNNNNNNNNNNNNNNNNNNNNNNNNNNNNNNNNNNNNNNNNNNNNNNNNNNNNNNNNNNNNNNNNNNNNNNNNNNNNNNNNNNNNNNNNNNNNNNNNNNNNNNNNNNNNNNNNNNNNNNNNNNNNNNNNNNNNNNNNNNNNNNNNNNNNNNNNNNNNNNNNNNNNNNNNNNNNNNNNNNNNNNNNNNNNNNNNNNNNNNNNNNNNNNNNNNNNNNNNNNNNNNNNNNNNNNNNNNNNNNNNNNNNNNNNNNNNNNNNNNNNNNNNNNNNNNNNNNNNNNNNNNNNNNNNUAAAAUAUACAUAAAAUGCAUAUUUUCUUGUCUUACAGUCUAUAUUUUUAUUUUUUUAUGUCAAAUUUUACAUAGUGGGUCAAUAUGAAUGUAACUAUUUGUAUUUUAAAUGUAAUUUAUUUAUGAAAAGCUCGUAAGAUUACCUCGGGUGAAGAAUAAACUAUUCUGCAUCCUGGAUGAUGAAUAGAGUUUAUAUAUAUAUAUAUAUAGACACACACACACAUUCUAUUAGGCAUCCAAGAUGAAGAAUAGCUUAUUCCUCAUCCUAGCGGUCUCACCGAGCUACAUUUUUUCUCACAUGCAAACGUAAUUUUAUAGUAUGCAUGUUGUAAAAUUACAUUGCUUCUAAUAUAAAUUAUUGAAACAAUUUUUAGUUUUAUAUUGCCGCACCAUAUGUUUUCUCACAUGCAGAACAUAACUUUAUAUCAUGCAUGUUGUAAAAUUACCUCAGAUUUUUUUUCAUGGUGGAAGACAAACUUCCUUACUCAAGAGUGUAAUAUUACCUCAAGUCUAUUUCUUGUUACGUUUUCAAGUCAUGGUGGUGGAAUGGGACUUGGGUGAGGAAUAAGAAUUCCUCAUCGAGGGUAUAUAUAUAAAAAGUUUAUUCAUCACUCAGGAUACAUAAUAAGUUAUUCUUUACCCGAGGUAAUCUUAAGAUCGUUUCAUAAAUUAAUUAAUUUUGGAAUACAAAUAAUUACAUUUCUGUUCAUCCACUAUGUGAAAUUUGACAUAAGAAAACAAAAAUACAGGUCAUAAGACCAGAAAAUUUGCAUUUUAUGUAUAUUUUAUGUUAUGUUUUUAUGUUUGUAAUUUUACAUAACAUAAAAUAUAUUUUUCGGUGAUUUUAUAUUUUCUUACUGUCUCUUUUUAUGUAUGAAAUAAGAACAAAAUUAUGGAACGUAAAUUUACAAUGCAUUGAUGCUAAAAUAGAGGGGGUUGAAGAAUAACAAUUCCUCAUUCAGGGUGAUGAAUAGUCAAUCCCUAUAUGCCCAUGGGGUCAAGCAAUGCAAUAUCGAUUCCACAAAUCCUUCCCUCUCCCUUUUAACAACCAGCAAAAGUGUCAACCAAUUUGGAGUUCAUCCGAAUUGGGUUUGAAAUCCAAAAGGUUUGAAUUUAGGUGCCCAAUUUUUUCAUAAAAGAGAUUCUUAAGUUAGAGCAUCUACAACCAAAACUUGCAAAAAUGAUCCCUCAAACGCCCGCGGACGCGCCCGGGCGUGUCCGAGGGAAGUGACCGGACACGUCACAAAUAAACACUGUUGCAAGAGGAAAUUUCAUACUAGAUUCUCAAAUCCAUACACUACUCCUCGUCGGAUAUUUCAACGAUCUUCGUGUCCUCCGGCACAUAAACGUGUGGCAGCUGCAGCUUCGCCCCUCCGGUGCCUCCGACUACUCCGCUGCAUCUUUUUUCGCCGCUAUCUCCGUGUCGAGCUCGUCGAAGAGGACGUCAGCCUUCACCUGCCUUUGUCGGAUGAGCCGGCGGUUGGUUUCCACCUCGGCCUCAGCCCAGAUAGAAUCCAUCAUGGUGUGCGCUCCGCCAUCUCCUCGGCUUGGGCGACGGUGAACUCCGCCUCCGCCAUGUUCAAGCGUGGAGCAUGGCUCUUUGCCUCGUCCUCCUCCAUCGCCUCCGGCAACUCCUCCUCCUGCUGCUGUUGCUCCUCCUCCUCCGUCUCCGACGAGUCCAGAGGGAGACCCGCAACAAUGCGAGUGGCACGUCGAGCCUGGAUAUCCGACUCGAUCUACAUACGACGCUCUGGCGUGAGCAAAUCGUAGGUGGUGAUCCUACGGAGGACCAUAUUGACGCCGGAGAGCGGGGGAGAGGAGGCGGAUGGGCUCGGGUGGCGACGCGGGGGGGGGNNNNNNNNNNNNNNNNNNNNNNNNNNNNNNNNNNNNNNNNNNNNNNNNNNNNNNNNNNNNNNNNNNNNNNNNNNNNNNNNNNNNNNNNNNNNNNNNNNNNNNNNNNNNNNNNNNNNNNNNNNNNNNNNNNNNNNNNNNNNNNNNNNNNNNNNNNNNNNNNNNNNNNNNNNNNNNNNNNNNNNNNNNNNNNNNNNNNNNNNNNNNNNNNNNNNNNNNNNNNNNNNNNNNNNNNNNNNNNNNNNNNNNNNNNNNNNNNNNNNNNNNNNNNNNNNNNNNNNNNNNNNNNNNNNNNNNNNNNNNNNNNNNNNNNNNNNNNNNNNNNNNNNNNNNNNNGGGGGGGGGGGGGGGGGGAGUGGGUGGAUGUGCUAGGGCUGGGGGACGCCGGCCGUCUUAAAUAGCCGCUUAUGGCCUCGGCCGGCGAGCCGAAGAGGCGCCAUGCGACAUUCAGCGGCGAUGGUCAAGGUGUAUGUCAAACCGUCGGGUUUCCGGACGAGUCCGCAUUGGCCCCCGACGUCAGGCUGAUGUGGCGGGCGUGCCCGGGCUCCCGCAUAUCCACCCAACAUUUAAGCUGAAUAGGAGGGUUGCCGGUCAACCCGGGCAUUUGAGGCCCGUUUGUGGGGCAUGACUGGGUUGAUUUUUUUGUGACCGGACGGUCUGUCCGGACGUUUGAGACGGAUACGAGGACUCCGAUUGUAGAUGCCCUUAGAGAAUAGAUAUUCCUCCUCAGAAAUGCAUUCCUCAUAUUUUUACCAUUCCCCAAUCUACCCCUGCUUUAUUUCCCUACUUUUGUUUUCUGGGAAAAUAGAGAAAUGGCAUUCUGGCCAUUCCAGCAAAACAGCCCAACAAACCCCGCACACCUGCUUACCCUCUCUCUCUCAGCCGCGCUACUUGUUUCCGUGUUUGUCUCAAAAAAAAAAAAAGUUUCCGUGAAACCUCCCUGUCAGCGAGGAGAGGCAAACCCACACCCGCGCCUUUUCUCCUACAUCGGCCCUCACUUGCUCCAGCUCGGCCAUGUGCGCACCCGAGGUCAAGCUUUCCUUGUCCGGCUCGCCUCCGCCCUCAUUUCCUCGCCCUCUCACGCCAACCACCAUUUCUCCAUCCCCGCUUUUCCCCCUCGGCCAAAAAAAAGGGGAAAGCAGAAGCUGAUUCCGGUUUGCCGUCUCGGACAGGCAAGCACCUUCGCCGCCUUCCGCUCGGCCCUGACUCCGAUCGGCAUCUCGGACAGACAAGCAACUCCAAAUGAUCGUGGUGAGCAUCUUCCUCCCCAACCCUUUUCCCCUCUCGUUUACUCCCUGCAACGCUCGAUUUCUUGCACGCCCGAGCGCACCGCCGUGGGUCCACGUCGCCGGCCAUGAUCCGGUGGUCUCUGGUCCUCUCUGACUGCACGGUUGGAACCGUACAUCCUCGUAGAUCGUUUUUCCGCGCUUGUUUUUCGUUUGCGCUCGCCCUAUCGCCAUGACCGUGCACCAGCCGAGCGUUCCCCGCUCAGCGCCGUGUCGUCACCAAAGUCGCUCUCGUCGGCGUUUGGUGACGUGGAUGGUAGCCGGGAUUGCAUCUUCUCACGCCGAACACAACGCAUGCAGAACAUUCCGGAGAGCAACUCGCCGUGGUUUUGGUCGCCGCCGGUGGCUCCCCUGAAUUACUCUGUGUUUUUUUUAACACUGUAUUAUUACUCUGUUUCGCCAACACACGAGCUGCCUCUGCACACUUUUUUUUUUUUGAGAAAUACCUCUGCACACAUUUUCUUAAGGGAAAAAGGCUAAAUUUAGAAUGUAUCUAGCUAACUUAUGAGCUUUCAUAUUGCUUUCACCACCUUGAUAAAUAAAACUACAAGAAAAAUUGAUAGACCGAAGUUUGACAUUAAAAGAAAGAAAAGCAGACGUGUCCCAGCCAACUGCACCCAAAGGGCAAAUCUUUUUUUCCGACUCGAAUCCACAACCUGUUUCAUAAAAAGGAAGAAUGUGACAACCACCACGACACUAACCAACUUGUGUAAUGGAUCUUCGUUUUCCUUUUUUAUUAGUUCCUACAUUCGUUAUGUUCUUUUUUCUUUUCAUGUUUUCUAGUUCCUUUAAGUUUUCUUCUAAUUUUUGCUUAUAUGUGCGGCUUGUUAGUUUGUGAACUUUUUUCACCGACUUUGAUGAUAUAUUUUUUUUCAUUUUUUGACGAUUUCUUUUGAAAAUCGAUGAACUUUUUUUAAAUUCGAUGAACAUUUUUCAAGUUUGAUGAACUUUUUCCUUUUUGGAUAUUUUUUUAAUAAAUCGAUAUAAUCUUAUUUAAGAUCGUUGAUAUUUUUAUAAUUGGAUGAACUUUUUUUUAAUUUGAUGAACCUUUUUUUGGUUUUACGAUUUUUUUUUCAAAUUCGAUCAACUUUUUUUGAAAAUCCAUCAACUUUUUCAAAAAAUCGUUGAACAUUUUUCAAAAUCACUGAACUUUUUUUCAAAAUUAAUAUAGGAGUACUUUGUUUGGAUUUGUGAACCUUUUUUAUCCCCCAGAUAGGAGCUCCCAAAAAAAAAAGAGGUCCAAAUCUUAUCUUUGUCGCACGCUCCGUCCGCAUCUUCCUCUCGCCUUCUCCAGUUCUCCGCCGCCGUCCGCCGCCGUCCGCCACUGUCCCGGCCUCCCCCCGCGCCCCUCGCCGUACUGCGCCUGCUGCCUGCUCUGCGCGAGCAUAACCCCGCCAUGCUGCACUGCUGCUGCCGCCCAGAGCCCCAGCCCCCAGACUUCUUCUCAUUCCCCUGGCCUAUUCAAAUUAGAAUGCUCAGAGUUGCAGCGCAGCCUUGAGUUCUUGAUUCAGAUGGUGCACAACAACUUAUCCCUGAGUUGCCUGUUCCGGGUUUUUAGGUCAUGAUUUAUUUCAUUUUCUGCUAUAUAUUUUUCAAAGAUUUUUUGUCAAGUACAUGGUUAUGGACCGGAUUCGAACCAUUCCCAGGUUGACAUUCAAUUCAUCCGAAAGUUAUGAUAUAACCUUAACAUGAGUUGAUAAUAUGUUCCUUUAUUUUUUUUUGUAGAUUUGAUGUCCAAGAUGGUAGAACAUUGAUUGCUGUGACUAAACAUUGUUGAUGGAAAUUUGGAGUCAACUUGCAGCAGGAAAAAUGGCAGAGGCUACUAUCCUGGUGGUACGAAGGCCCUAUUUAGAUCCAGGGGCUAUAGCUAGGUUGAGCUAGUUGAGACUCAACUAACCCUUAAAACAUCCAAACAUAUGGGCUAGUUUGAGUUAGAUUGGAACUAGCCCACCAAAAAAACUAUCCCUGUAAAGUGGUGCUAAUUGGAGCUAGUUGUGGUGGGACAAAAAAAAAACAUAUUUUUCUCCCUCACCGAGC
rnacentral:lncRNA from 1 species